CGUGGCACACGUUGAGGCGUCUCACCACACCUUCAUACUCCAUCUCACAAUAACUAAGAACGUGCAUUGCCACUGUUCCCUUCUUGGCAUCUUGCAGCUUUUGCUUGAUCUUACCACUAGCGGCAGUGACACGGCUCUUAAAGAUGUCGACAGUGACAAGCACUAAGUCACGGAGGUCCUUAGCCUCGGCACUUCGAUUGUCCGACUGAAGGGUGGACAAACAGAAUUCUUGCGUGAUAGAUUUGUUGCAGGGGUUGUUGAUCGAGGCCUUCUUGCAUGCUUCCACCAUGAGCUUGGUCGCCUUGGGCUUGCCAGUGUCAGAGCCACUAGCAUGAGUGGAAAAAAGGAAGAAUAUGAUGGUGGAGAGGACGAUGGUAGUCCUUGGCAUUGCUACCAUUACUACAGGGCUAGCUAGAAGCCUUGAAGUACUGAAGCGCUGAGAGGGAGGUGGAGAAAAAUAGACAGAGAAGGAUGUGUAUUGCAGAGAUGGAUGGGUGGAUGGAGGUGAUGUACAUGAGGCUGAGAAUUCUUUAUAAUGCCUGCAAUGGGGUAUCAUAAAUGCAGUAUGCAGCUUUGGUCCAGAAUAUGUGUACUAUCGGUGUCCAGUAAAUGUUGAAUGCCCAUUUUGGAUCUCUACAUAUUAAUGCUCUCUCUAUGUUCACAAAUACACAGAUGCUCACUAUAGAUCUUGUUGUAGUAACACAUAUCUUACUUAUAUGAAUCCAUUAAUGCAACGUAGCUUGAUCAAGGAUAUCCCAAAUGAUUAGUGUGCACCGAAUGCCCAUAGAUAUGUUGAUGCUCAUUUUGGUACGUCUUAUUUGCAUUGGUGUUUUCUAAACAUCAUUUUGUAUAACUGAUUUGUUACUUCUACCUCCCUUUGGGGGACGAUUAUAUUUUCCCUCAUCAAGUCUAUAAUUGCUCAUUUUUUCUUUGCAAUUUUCGAGUAGUUACAAAUAAUUCUCAGGGAGCAGGCACUUAGUUAACUUGGUGACACAAUAAAUAUUUUUGUUAAAAUAUCAAAGUUUUAUAUCUUAAAUUUUUUUAUUUCCAAGUCGAUUAUUGUCUGAUGGGUUGACUUUUACAACAGUUGUAUUCCCCCAGUUAAAAAUCACAACUUAUUUUAGGGAUUAAAUGAUGCCAGCCGGACUAACAUAUCAUUCGUAGGCACUGUCAAAAAAUAAGCAUGUUUACUGCCCACCGCCUAAGAAAAUAAAAAAAAAUUACCAAUACCAACACGUCACAGUAUGGGUUUAUUUGGUUUCGAUUCUCGUUACUACGUAGUAGGAAGGAAAAAAAAGAGCUAUCGAUCAUAAGGAGGUAACCUGUAUCAUAGGUACAUGAUGCGCACGUACACGCCGGUAUCUUAUAUUUUAUAUUUUAUAUCUUAUAUUUACUAAUUGGAAGCACCUUUCAAGCCUUCUCAUUAAUCAACAUUAUAAAAAUUAAUUACACCGUUGUAUUAUAGAAUUUACGUCUAAGAUGAAAGGAGAACUUACGUAACAUAAACUUGGAAGGAAAAAAGAUAUAGGGAAAGGAGAAUAAAAAUAGAAGUAAAACAAAGAAAAUAAUUUAGAUGGGCCAGCCCAUUAUUGUUUGCCUUGUGCGAAAUUCUGACUAUUUAUGGCGCUGUGCGGAAAAUAGAGUUUUUCCAGCUGCAUGGGCAGAAAAAUAAGUGGGCUGGCUUUGCUGGGCCACCGCGCGUGGCCCACGUACAACAAUUCUUUUUCUAGCAAACAAACGCAUAAGACCUUUGUACCACCUCGGGUAGAAAGAUUGUUUUUUCGACGGUGAACGGAUGAAAAUAUAGGCAAAACGCACCUUGCUUCAUUAGUAGUAGCACAUAUGCCCGUGCAUUGCAACGGGAGAGAUGUUUCUUUGGAGAAGCAAUGGGAGAGAUAAUUGAUGUAUCCACCAAAAAUGAUCUCCAUAGCGGUGUGAUAGAGAGAGGAGUUGUGGUCUUCUAGCGGGUCAUGUUUCUCCCGCCAGAUAUUGAUAGUGGUGCACUUAGUCGGCAUAGCGGCAACCAUACAACUCGUGCAUUUUUUUCCUUUGGGUCAGUCUCUGUCUCGGGGUUGUGUCUGCCUCUACGUUUGGUAGCUAUGCGGCGACCUUCAGAGCACGGUUGCUUCGACCACUCUCUCUUAUGAUGGCGUAACCGGAUGAAUUACUAAUUGUAGCGCUUAAAUCCUGUUUCAUUAGCAUAUAUAUUUAGCGCAUAACCAGAUAUCAAUGUCCCUUCUUUAUUAGGGUUUAUUUUCUUUGAUUAUUUUAGCGCUCACGUGCCCACAACUAUUUUAUUCGAGCCAAACCAACAUAUUCUCUUUUAUUGGACCAAGAAAAAAUUGCUCCCUCAGACGACUCAGUAGGGAGUGUGGUUGAGGCCCAAUACAGCCUAUAUGACGCUAGUUGCGUAAAAUAACGUGUGAGAUGCACAUCAGUUCGUGUAUGGACCAACACACUGGUAGGCGCCAAGACGACCUAUGUUAGGAAGGCACGGAAAAAUCCAAAAAAUAAUGAGUUGAAGGAUCAAAAUCAUGUCCUGAAAGAGCCGACUACGUGCUCAUUGCCACUCGAAGAAACGAGUCCUACCAACCAAUGGCCAGCUCAAACCUUUAAGAUCAUACUCCAAUGUGAGAUUGGAUACAAUUUUUUUAACUGUUUAAAAAAUAUAAAUUGCUGAAUAUUCCUGAAAACAUGAAUAAUUUUUAAAAUCACAAACACUUUUUGAAAUUCUUUACAUUUUCAGAAAUACACAACAAAAUUGGAAACCCUCAAAAUUCACAAAUUUAUUUGAAAUCAUAAACCUUUUAUAAUAACAUGAACACGUUUUGAAAAUGUGAUUUUGUUUGAAAAAGAAACAUAUUUUGAACAUUCAAAACAUUUUUUGAAAAUGUGUUUCUAUAAACUUGGACAUUACUUUGAAUUUGCGAACAUUUCACUAAAACAAAAAUAUUUUUCAUAUUUGGAACAUUUCCUAAAUGCAUUUUUUUUGGGAAAAUCUCAAACAACUUUGGAAAACACAAAGAAAAAAUGGAACAUUUUUUGAAACGUGAACGAAUUUUGGAAUGAGAACAAAGCACUAUUGGGAAAAGGCUAAUUAGUGGCGCACAUAUUUUUGCUAUUAAUGGCGCACUAUAGGUGCGCCAGUAUUACCACGCCACUAGUAACAAAUAGUAAUGGCGCAUCUAUAGUGCGCCAUUACUAUGCCUAGAAGGUGCGCCAUUACUAUCUGACUUAGUAAUGGCGCACCACAUAGAAGUGCGCCAUUACUAACAAUUUUUUUUCAAAAAAAAUAUCCAAAUUUUUUCAAAUAUUUUUCCCUUUUUUUCUUAAUCUCAGGUCAAUAUGCUUAAUCUCAAGUCAAAUCGAUCCUAUUAAACCUUAUUGAUGUCUAGGACUUUGUUCAUGUUCAUGAGUGUGAUGAAAUUUCAAACUUCCCGGUCAUAUUACGUAUCAUAUUUUGAAAUGUUACUAGUGGCGCACCUAGCAAAUGGUGCGCCACUAGCAAGUUUGAUUUUUUUUGUUUUCCCCUCUCUAGAUCCUAAAAGCCCCGUAUCUUUCAUUCUGUUAGGUUUUUGUGGAUUCUGAAAAUCUUGUAACUUUUCGAGUAGAUGCUUUUUCAUAUAUAAAACUUUUUAAUCCGAGUUCAUAUGUAAAAGUUAUGCCCAUUUUACUAAAUUCCAGAGAGAUUUUGCAAAUAAAGUCGAAAUUUAUAUUUGUAAAUUUUCCCAAAACCUAGACCACAUAUCACAUGGAAAACUUAUUUUCUUUUAUUUUUUUGACAUUUCCAUCAUUUUCUUUUUUUUUCUAAAACUGAAAAGACGGUCCAGGGGGUGGGGGUGCAAAGAAAGUUAGUAAUGACGCACCUUCACAAAGUGCACCAUUAUUAUGUGUAUGACUUGGUCAAACCUUGGUCAAAGUUAGUAAUAACGCACUUUGUGUAGGUGCGUCAUUACUAAGUUUGACAUACUAAUGGCGCACCUAUGCAAAAAUGCGUCAUUACUAAGUUUGAUCAAGGUUUGACCCAGUCAUACACAUAGUAAUGAUGCACUUUGUACAGGUGCGCCAUUACUAUGUCAACUAGUAAUGACGCACUAUCCUCUAGUGCGCCACUGCCAACAAUUUUUUUUAUUUUUUCUUCAAAACUAGUACUAGCGCACCACACACCAGGUGCACCACUAGUAAUAUGUCAAUAAUGUUGCACCUGUAUCUAGUGCGCCACUGCAUAUAUGGUGCGCCAUUAAUGUCCACAUUAGCUAUAGCCCUUUUCCUAAUAGUGAAGAUUUAAUGUUCUGAACAUUUUUCGAAAAGGAAUAUUUAUUAACAUCCCAAACAUUUUUAAAAAACGGAUUUGUGUGAUAUUAUGAGUUUUAUUGAAAAUUUUGGUUUUACGAAAAAAGGGGAGAUAAAGAAAUAAACUUGAAAGUAAAAAAGAAAAAAGAAAAGAAAAGAAAAUAGAAACCAAUGGAGAAAGAAAAAUAGAAACAUAACACAGAACAAAAAAAAACGGUUCGACCGAGCUCGAGCGCCCGAUGCGAAUUUGUGACUAUUUUGGAAUGAGAACAAAUAUUUAUAUUAUAAACUUUUUCAAAAAGGAAUAUAUUUAAAGUUCUGAACAUUUUUUAAAAAAAUUGAUUCUUAUGAUAUUAUGAAUUUUUUGAAAAUUUUGAAUUUACAAAAAAAGGGAGAAAAAUAAACUUGAAAGGAGAAAACACCAAAGAAAAAGUGAAAGAAAUGGAAAAAAAUAGAAACAUAUUUUAAAGUUCUGAGCAUUUAAAAAAAUCGAAUUUUUAUGAUAUUAUGUAGUUUGUUGACAAUUUUGAAUUUACGAAAAAAGGAGAAAAAGGUCAACUUGAAAGGGAAAAAGACCAAACAAAAGGAGAAAGAAACGGAAAAAGAAAAACAGAAACAUAACACAAAACAAAAAAAAGAAUAUAUUUCAGCCCAGCUUGGGCGCCCAGUGCGAAUUUACGACUAUGUAACGCUAAUUGCGAUAAAUAGGAUUUUUCCACCUGCAUGUACACGAAAAUAACUGGGCUGGAUUUCCUGGGCCAAUACUGUGGGCGGCCCAUGUACGAGAUCUGGCGUUUUUCUUUUCUAAUAGACAAACGGACAAAAAAAUUGUACCACCUCGAAUAGAAAAAAAAUCUUUUCGUUGGUGAACGGAUGAAAAAAUCAAAGAAACACACCUUGCUUUAUUAGUAGGUAUAGAGGUAUAGAUAUAGAUAUAGAUAUAGAUAUAGAUAUAGAUAGUAUUGAUAGAAAAAUGAAAUUUUCCAUCCAUGCUAAUCUUAACAUAAAUUGUUUAAGAAUUCGUUGGUACACAUAAAAACAUCUAAUGUGAAUAAUCUAUGGUUCUUAUAGUAUUUGCUAGGAUAUCAUGUAUGUUAAAGGAAAGUCAUGCAUGCAUGUGUCCAUUAUUGUGUAUAGAAACAAAGUAUUUAUAAUUCUACCAUUCUUCCGUGGCAAAAACAAGCAUGUAUUCCUUCUUUUAGGUUAACUAAGAAAGGCUACAAUAGAACACUCGACCUUUAUGCCUUUUAGAAACUUCUAGAUCACGAGUGCAUGAUGCACACAAUAACUUUUGCGUUUGUAACUAUGUUUUCUACCAACAUAAAAAAUAUACCCUUAUAUAACCUUCAUAAAGUAGCACAUUCUUAUUUCCACAUAUCUUCUAUAAAUUUGACGUGAUUUUCCAUCACACAGCGAUAUUUUUAUACUUUUGUCACAAAAUUGGACAUAAACAAUCAAUCACAAAAUAGUCAAAGAAUUGUAACUUCAUUGGAUCCAAUGUGCAUGUGUAAUAAUAAUAACCUAUAUCCAAAUGAUUGUUUGAUAUUUAUAAUUUGUCAAAAAUAUGUUAUAUCUGAUAUUACAAUUGCUAGCCCGUGCAGGUGCACGGAUUGACGACUAGUGAUAUGUAGAUAGAAUUAAUUAUGAUUACCACUCAAUAAUUUUUCUUUAUGGAUAUCCAAAUUUAUGUUUAGAAUCAACAUUUCUACUUCAAUUUUUUCCGGGGAUUUUUUUACUUAGUAAACAUAUGGAUAUUUAGAAAUUUUUUGUGCUAAUUGUGUGCUCUCCUUAGCCUAUGUUACAAUGCAUGGUUUUCUCGGUUAUUUUAGAAAAUGCAUGUACUUCUCUAUCGCCAACUUCUCACAGAUGGAGUUAAGUUUCGUAAAAGUUUAGAAUGGCAGCCAACAUGAAAAAAGAUAAAAGUAUCAUCAUUUGCACAUUUUUUUUCACCUUCUUCACUAUCUAUAUUUAUGGAUAUUCACUUUGCGAUUUAUAUUUUCCCAAUUCGCUACAAAAGCGCAGAACAAACAUUUUAGAAAAUAAAUGCAAAAUGUGUAAAAUAAAAUGUGUAGGUACAUAAUUAAAAAUCUUGGACGACGAUAACUGCCACACGUGUGGCAUCUAGGGGCUAUGUGCCGCACGCCCCGUGUGGCAUCGACACAGGCCCGCCCGCACGAGCACGUCCGCGUGCACCCCACCACAGCCCGCACGUUCGGUGUGCGGCGCAAUCGCCCGCACUAGCACGUCCGGGCGAGCGACCUCACGGCCCGCACGACCCGUCUCGGCCCUCGCCCCUCCCCGCCUGCGAGCCACACGCCCCGCGUGGCAGUAACCACGCGUCCCGCCGCGAUUGCCAUGGUCUGAACCCUCUUCCAUGUUCGUUUAACUGUAGUUGCCAUGUUGCUGAACUGCAGUUGCCAUGUCUGACAACUACAGUUGCCAUGGUUGCUCAACUGCAGUUGCCAUCUCAGGUCAAGUGUCGGAUGCCAUUUUUGGGCAACUGUAGCUGUUGCCAUGUAUGGUCUGGUCUACUACAGUUGCCAUGAUUUGAAAACUUUAGGAUUUACAACCUACUAACACUAGACAGUUGCCAUGUAGCACUACAAAAGCAUGGCAAAAAACAUGUUCAGGUAAAAGAGAGAGUUGCCAUCUGCUUACAAGCACACUAGGGCAGUUGCCAUGUACCCUGCAAAAACACAUGGCAACUGAUAGCUUUUGGUGUGUGGGAGAGGAGACGGGCAUGUGGGCGACGAUGGUAUCUUUAGGAGUUGCCACCUACUAACACUAGACAGUUGCCAUGUAGCGCUACAAAACAGACGUGUCAACAAUAACAUGUUCGGGGUAAAGAGAGUUGCCAUCUGCUUAUAAUCACAAAUAGGGCAGUUGCCACACACUAGCACUGGACAGUUGCCAUUUAGCGCUACAAAAACAGACGUGGCAACAAUAACAUGUUCGGGGUAAAGAGAGUUGCCAUCUGCUUACAAUCACAAAUAGGGCAGUUGCCAUGUACCCUGCAGAAAACAUGACAAAUGACAACUUGGUGUGGGAGAGUGGGAAAAAGGGCAGUCAUGGGAGAUGGGGAACAGAAGUCGUGCGCGGCGUGCGGGCGCGACAGCAGUUCCACCGCACGCCCCGACUCGCAAUCGGUCUCGUCCGAGGGAGAAACAGCGUGCGGGCGAACUACCUACACACCACACACCGGGCUUGUCCUACUUGGCACACCAAAUCCAACUUUUGGUGUCAGGAUUCAUGCAAAAAACAACCAACGACAAUCCAGGCGUGUGGGCGAGUUGAAAACGUUCCACGCGUGUAGGCGUUAGUGUUUCCGAAAAUCUUAUAUCUCCGUCUCAAACAAACAAAAGCCUCCUUCCAUAAGAAACAGCUCAUACGUGAAACUCUUCUCGCCUAUUAAAAAAAAGGAAAAGCAUCCCUCCCCGAAAAAAGAGAAAACGUCUUCACUAGCUCCUGUACUUUUUUAGGCAACCACGUCUCCUCUAUAUGGCCAGAUCUUUCAAGGCUUCUUACUAAUCAGACCACUACGUUGUAAAUUUAUAUCCAAUAAAGAAAACCUGCCGAAUCAUAGAUGGUCUCGUCCAAAAAAAUGUCAUGUGAUACGUCCAACGUUGUCAAAAAAACAUCCUCCAUUCCUUAAAGAGAAAAGAUAGCGUCCUUAGAAAAGCACUACCAAUAAAAGGAAAAGAAAGACGGAAUCCAAUUGAUGACCGAUGAAACUCCAUAAAUAAAAUCUUCUGUCGAUCGAUUUUAAAAGAAGAAACAUCUGGCUCAGUUCCUCUACAUGGCCGCAUACUCCACUUCCUCUUCAAUCCUGCUCUCCUACAUGUGGCUGGUGGUGGCGAUUUCUCUAACCGAAGGAUAUACCCAACUCGCCAUCACCAUCAAGUGCGCUCUCCCACCAGCAGGGCCAACAACAAACUGCAAAGGAACCUGACGACAGGUGCUGCGAGGUAUGAUGCAAGAUCGACUGCGACCCCAAGCGGCAAUCGAUCUUCCUCAUUGUUAUUGUCACCGCGUCUCCUUCCAUCCACCCCGGGCAUCAAAGUUCACCCUAUUUUAUGAUAAUAAAAAAGUCCAACUACCAAGUACAAGCUCUAAUAAGUUCUUCUUGGAUUCAUGCUCCGACAAGACUAUGAUCCAACUAUGAUAAUAAUGGAUUAAGGCGCAGAUUGCUAACACUUAUCUGCAUAUAUAGUACGUAUGCAUGUCUUUAUUUUGAUCUUAGAAAAAAGAGAAAAUUAGCUAUUAAAGCAUCUUUAAAUACAUACAAAUUACCGAAGUAACAAGAAAAUAUGGAUGUACCAUGCGCCACGAAGAUCUAAUAGACACACAAUUAUCUAUGUGGUAUAGGUAUGUAUACAGUAUGGAUAGAAAAUAUAAAAAAAUGACAUCCGUAUUAAAAAUAUAAGAAAUUCUUUAAGAAUUUGUUUGUUGAGACUAGAACUUAAAACCGGAAUAAUCUAUGGUGCUUAUAGUAAUGAGAAUAUACUACAAACUUUUGUUUGCCAUCACACAAUGACAAUAUUAAUGAGGUUGUCACACAAUUGGAGGCAAACAAUCAAAUAACAAAAUAGUCCGAAGCAAUGUAACACUGUUGAACCUUAUGUCUAACAAAGAUAAACAUGCAUGUGUGACAACAAUAACCCAUAUCAACAUAUUAUUAUUGGCUGACAUUUCUAAUUUGUAACAACUUUGUUGUAUGCAAUAUUAAAAGUGCUAGCCCGUGCAUGUGCACGGGUUGAUGACUAGUAUAAUAUAACUCUGAGACAUGCCUAUAUAACCUCUUAUUUGCAUACGUUCUUUUAAAACAUAGCAUAGACAAACCACAUUACAUUAUAAUAAUGAAUUUGUUUUUUCUCGGUGACAGGGUAACUGUUAUUUCUAUGUCGACCAGUUGUACCUUGAAAGAAAGUGUUAUAAAACAAUUAUGUUACUCCCUCCUCCAUCACUGUUUUCAUUGACCAGAGCCCCCACUCCACACAUAUCGACAAGCUCGGAGUCCCGCUCAUCGAUAUGAUCGUAUGCCAUAUCCACACAACUGGCGAGCUCAUUGGAGCGUAGCCCGUCCUCGUCGCCUUGGUAAUCCCUGAUCGUGGCAUCACAUAUGUUGAGGAUGCUCACCAGUCAUAAUCCGCCUCACAAAAACUAAGGACACGCAUUGGCACCGUGCCCUUCUUGCUUCAUGUGUCUGUUGUCUUGGCGCACCCAUUUCGUCCACCGCCAUCCGUUUGUGUCGGCGCGGACAGAAAAGUCGGCCCAACGCGCCGACACAAAUGGACGCGCGUCCGAUUUCGUCCGCCUGCCUAUCCAUUUCCGGCCCAUUUUUUAGCCGGAUUUGCGUCGGCGGAGACAAAAGACGGACGCACGCGCUCACCCUCUCUCCUUUCCGGGCGCGCUGGUCGGUGGCACAUUGGCCUCUCCACAUCAAACAACACACCCUCGCCCGCCUGCUUCAUCGCUGACGCCGCCGGUCAUUUUUUCCGAUAGAAAAAUGAUACAUAGAUAGUUUUAGCAUACACAGAUAAAAAAAAGAUCAACUACUCGUCGCUUUCCGACUUCGACUCGGUAAUGUCCUCCUAUGACGUCUAAAUGUAGGCGUCAGCAUGCUGAUCAUCUUCAAAGUCUCACCCCGGCGUUUCUCGUAGCUUCAGUUUCAAUUGAGCGGCCUGCUUGCGCGCACGCUUGUCCUCCCGAUAGGCGGCUCGCUCCGUCCUCCUCACCUCCUUCUCCGUCCUCCUUUGCGUGUAGAACUGGCGCUCAUUGACGAUGUCCUGCAGAAAGCGUUCGCGCCACACCACCAUGGCUUCCAUGUCCAUCUCGGUGAUGGCGAGGCGACGCUGCCGCCUCCGGUGGACACGACGAUCCUCGUCGGUGAAAUGCCGCGGGAGAGGCGCGAGAUCCUGCGCCGCUGGCUCGACACGUCAGGAAAAUUCAUAUCCCAACGAGGCCUCAGGAGGCACGACGCCGCCGCGUCGUGCGCGCGGGCCGACUCCUCUGCGGUGUUGAAGGUGCCGAGGAUGAGGCGUUUCUCGCCAAACCUGAUCUCUGAGGAGAAGGCACCAGAGCGGCGCUCGCGGACUCCGCGAAAAUUUGAAGCGCCCAGGCGGCGCAUCGACAUGGUGGCGCAGAGGCGGCGAGGCUAGUGAUAGGGGGCGACACAAGUGGGCGGCGGACAGAGUGUGGAGGGAGCGCCUUCUUAUAACGAGCGCCGGCCGCGGCGCGCGCGCGAACCUUUCCCGCGCGCUGGAGCACCGAAACCAGCACGCGCUAGGCCACUUUUCCCCCACGCGUGUGAACCUUUCCCGCGCGCUGGAGCGCCAAAACCAGGGAGACGGCAUGGCAGCUGGCAUGAUCGAAAGCGCGUGCGAUCAUGAAGUGGGUCGGACCGUUGGACGCACUGCCGACCCAAAUCUAAAAGAGGGCGGACGGCGGGCGGGCGGCAGACCCAAACGUACAAAAAGCGGACAACAACGCCGUCCAUCUGGGUCGGCCCGUUGAAGUUGCUCUUAGGGGUGAACCUCUGUCUCCCGUAGGGCCCCAUGUGUUUGACAACACAUGGGGUGGCCUGUUCAGCACGCCAGUGUGAAAAAUCAUGACACAGGCAUGAGGUAAUAGUUAGUGGUCUACUCCCUACGCCUGGGAGUUAUCACAUCAUAGGAGUAGGUAGCUCCAGUAGAUAAGUUUCCCUAUAUUGGAUAAAGAUCAAUGGAACGCCUCGUAGGUGUGAGUAGCGAGUUGCCAAAUAUAUAUGUUAUACGGAAUUAAAUUAUAGGAAUCCUGCUAGCUGAGCAGCUGUGAUUUUCCUUUUGAAAAGUAAGGAAAUGGAAUAGGGAGAAGAUUUUGCAUUUUAGAAUAAAGAAUCUGCUCAAGAUGCUCUAUAAUAUUUCCUGACUUGGGCACAUCAUUGUUUUCUUUUAUUUGAGACGCAGAUUGGAGCACAGCAUUUGCUGGUAAUUAAGCAAAUGCAUGAUGCAUGCCAACAUGACACUUGGGAAAAUAACAAGACUACACUUCCUACAGUAAUACAGAUUCACGCGUAAGGUCAAGUCUAAAAAGAUGUAUCGGGAUCAGCUUCCAUUUCAUAUACUCCAUGGUGGAAUAUGAUGUCACGCUUGUUAUCAAGGUUUUGGAUCGGGAGUGAACAGUGGACUAGACAAACCAGUGUGCCAGGGUGGUCCAAUAGUAGAAAUCUUUACAUAAAUUUAUUUAUUUUCAAAGAAAUAAUUUUUCUACUACACUAUAUACAUGCUGUGGGGAAAAUUCAGGGUGGUCCAUGUCCACCCCCUAGCUAAGCCACUACGAGCGGACCUUUUCUCUAAAGGGGCACCAAAAUUCGAGGUUACUAAGGUAACCACGAAAUACAAAAAAAUCAGACGAAAUUAGAAAUCAUUUUAAGUUGAUAUAGAUAGUUAUUUAUCUUUACCUAAUAAUAAAGUAUAAAGUGCGUCUACCCGUUCACCAUCAUCCAAAUUACCCUCGAAGUUGGCGAGAAUUACCCACUAAUGCCACCUGUAAGUGGCAAAAAUAAUUCGCUUUUUUCCAUGCUGGUUCAAUAUGAAGCUAUCUUCUUAUGUGACACAAGUACAUGCGCAUCCCACCGGCUAGAGGUUCGAUCCCAUGUUCUCCCCAUUCUAUCUCCCUUUUCUCUCUUGUUGUUAGAGGGUUGAUUGCGCCAGCCCAGCACGGCCUUCAACUCUCUUUCUUUCCUUUCUUACAGACAGUUUUUCUUUCUUUCGGCUUUAUUUCGAAAUACUUUAAAUAUUUCUAUGCAUUAAAGAAAUGUUAAACUUCUCUACAAAAAAUAUUUCCACUAUAUAUAAACAAAUGGGUAGUGUGUAUGGAAAGCAAAAUUAGGAAAAUAAUAACGUAAGUUUCUGUUUUUUUGAAAAAAAUUAAGCAUGCAUUUAAAUAAAUUUAAAUGUGUACAAAAAUUGUUUAUGAUGUAUACAAAAAUAUACAAUAUGUUUAGAACAAAGUAGACAUAAAAAAGUAUAUGUCUUCAAAAAUAUUAAUCAUGUAUUUGGACGAUGUUAACCAUGUACAUAAAAAUGAUCAUGAUGUACACAAGAAAUAUAGAAUGCGUAUAGGAAAAUUGGAAAUCAAAAAACUUAUGGUUAAAAAAAGUUGAAAACUAAAUUGGAAAAAUGUUAUACUUGUAUAUCUAAAUGUUUGUCAUGUAUACAAAAAAAAUACUGUGUUCAUGGAGAAUAUAGAGAUAAACAAAAUAUUUUACCAAAUGUUAAUUAAUUAUUUAAAAAUGUAAUAAUUUAUUUUUAAAUUUCUAAAUGUGAUAUAAAAUGUUUCUGGUAUAUAAAAAAAAUUUAUAGUGUAUAUGAGCAAACGUAGACAUAAAAAAUAUAAGUUCUCAAAAAUAUUAAUUAUAUAUUUAGAAAAUGUUAAACAUGUAUAUAAAAAUUAUUCUUGGCGUAUAAAAAAUGUAGAAAGAAAACGAACAAAAACUAUAAAAUUGAAAAAGAAACAAAAAAAGCAAAGAAAGCAAAAAAAUAGCAAAACCCGUAAAACCAAAAGAAUAUACCAAAAAAUAAGAAAGAAAAAACAAGAAUGAUAAAAACGUGCUAUCAUUAAUUACUAACAUGUACUUUGUUAUCUUCAUCACACUACAAAUAUUUGUUGGGCAUCAUCAAGGACGAACGACAACAAAUGCGUAAUGAGAUACCUCCAACUAGGUAGAUAUUUUUGUUGUCUAAUAAGUUAAAAACAUCUUGAGUACACUUCAAAAAUCAUCCCAUUUUUAUAUUUUUACACAACACCACUUAUCAUGUUAUUUGUCAUGUGACAUCGUGAAAGAUUUCAAGGGAUUUACUAAUGUCUUGAGAGUGUGUAUGAGGGGUGACUUUUUCUCCCCCGUUGAAAGAACACAAAGCCUGCCCUUCUUCGGAAAACACACACACACACACAUACACACACAAAGCAAGCCCUACCGUAUUGGCUGUUCACCCUUAGCUGCCGCUUGGUCAAACGUCGCGAGUUUGACGUUCUUACCUUUUGCAUCCUCUAAAAGAAGUAAAAAUGAAAGCGAUGAGACUCGAACCCGAGACUUGCUGCUGCGGAAAGCUUGGCUUUGCCACCUAGGCCAUGACCUGUCAUGAUGUUCAAUAAGAGAUGCCACGUAUUUAACUAUGAGGUGGGCGUUUGAAUUCAAAAGUUUCAAAANNNNNNNNNNNNNNNNNNNNNNNNNNNNNNNNNNNNNNNNNNNNNNNNNNNNNNNNNNNNNNNNNNNNNNNNNNNNNNNNNNNNNNNNNNNNNNNNNNNNNNNNNNNNNNNNNNNNNNNNNNNNNNNNNNNNNNNNNNNNNNNNNNNNNNNNNNNNNNAAGAACAUUAUUAUUAUUAUUUCAAAUGGAAGUAAUGUUGGUUUUACAUGAACAUUGUUUCUGGCAGAAAAUCUUAUAUUUACUAAUUGGAGGCACCUUUCAUGAUCUCUCAUUAAUCCACAUCAUCAAAAUUAAUUAAACUGUUGGAUUGUAAAAUUUAUGACCAGGAUUAAAAAAACAACUUGUGUAACGCAGAUGAUGCUGUCCUAUAAAAAGUGCACCUGACACGUACAACUUUUGUUAAACAAACAAAGAAAAGACUCACAUAAAAAAACGGAAGCCACAAGUAAAAAAGGGAAAGGCCCCACCAGUUCCCACAAAUUAAGUAGAAAAACAGCCUCAUGCAAGAAAAAGAGGAAAGUCCCUACCGUAUCCCACAAAUUAAGAAGCAAAAUUUUCCAUAAAAAAACCUAAUGAUAAGAUGCCAAAACAAAAUCCCAACGUUAAAGGAAAAAAAUCGACUAUCGGGCAGAUUGCCCGUGAAAUAAAAGAAAGCAAACUCGCGUAACAAAACUUAAACCUCCACCCAUCUGAACAAAUAAAAACACUAUGUACCAAACAGAUCAAGCCAAAAUGUACAAAAAAAAUAGAAGUCACGUAAAGAAAAAGGGAAAGUCCUUAGCAUCCGCGUUACUUCUCAUAAAAAAAUAGGGUUCUCACCACGUACAUAUAAUUGAAGAUUAAGCACACGCCUUCCAAAAAAAAUAGUCCUUAGCAUACACGUUACUUCCCAGAAGAAAAACAAGCUACAAAAACAGUUUUCACCACAUACAUGAAAUAAAAUCUUACAAAGAAACAUACGGCUUGAUCUUUGGUGUGGGACAUGACAAAAAAAGACACAACCUCAAAAAAUGACUUCGCAUUACGUAUGUGAAAUAAAACCUUGCAGAAAAAAAUACAUACAUGAAAUAAAAGAUUAAACAUACAUGACCAAAUAAAAACAAGGAAAGCCUCACGUCAAUCGAAAAAGCAAAGGAAAAACUCCACCCGCUGCACAAAUUAAGAAGGAAUGUCUCUGUUAAAAACUCCAAGAUAAAAUGUAAAAAAAGUCCAAUGAUAAAAAUGGAAAAAUUCCGCGAUCCAGCUGAUUGACCGUGAAAUAAAAACUAGACCCAAUGGCUCCAUCAAUAAAAUAUUCUCCCGACAAAAAUCUGUGUGGACUCAUCUGUACGGCCGAUGCCUCCUCCUCUGCUUCAAUCCUGCUGUCCUACCAAUGGCCGCCGAUCACGAUUAUUUGUCACUGAAUGUGCUUUCCCACCUGCAUGGCCAUCGGUGAACCACAAAGUGUCACAAGGGCGGCCUAAUUUAUUUUUCUAUAUGCUACAACAAAAAUACCUCUCAUGUUUAGUUGGACAGUAUAUUUUUUAAAGGGAUAUUGAAGCUGAAGUUUGUCAACCACGGAUGUGGAGCUGGUCGAGACUGGUGGCUAGAUGACAAAGGCUCCGCUCGGCAAGGAAAGAUUUGCAUUGAGCUAAGACUCAUGACUAAUUGAUAUAAUCUAAGAGAUGAUGAACCAAGAAAAUUAUAUUAGAAAUAAGUUGGAUGUUAUUUGCAUUAUUCUAUUUUGAGGAGUAAAAUUAUUUUUUUGGGAAUUAGACAAUCAAACUAUUGUUAUGAUUUCUUGAACUGGCCACAUAGGCCACAUAAAUUAUGAAAUUACUUUUCAUUGACGGAAUUUCGUUUGUGAAGAUAGCAUAGGGGCAACCGAUCAAUGUCCCCGGUAAUGAGUACUCAAUCACAUCAUGUUUGGUAGUACUACUGUAUGGGUGUUCUACAUAAAAGCAAAUGUAAGUAGACAACAUUAUAAUUAUUAAUUUUGUCCAUUAUAUUGCAAAGUAAAGGAUAUCCGUGUGGUCAAAAAAAAUUAGAUCAAUAUUGCACCACUAUAUGUCUUUUUGUCAAAUUUAAAUCCUGUUCAAGUUUAUACUGCUUUUCUUACUACUCCUAAUAAAUGAUCAGAACAAGGAAGCUUGCAGUUCUGUAGGGGAAGACCGAUCCUUGACGAGCAUUUCUAGCGUGACACAGAUAAAUAACAUUGGAUGGAGCGGCUCGACGACCUCCUCAUGUACGCUGCCGGACGCUGGCUGCAUCCGAUGACGCCGGGAGCAAGGUAGUGGUGUCGUGUAAGUUCAUUUUAGAUGCUAAGGACUAUUAUGCACAACUUAGUACUAUUCUCUUGAAAGAUAAACUACUUUGUCUGACAUGCAUACUUGCGAUUAUGUAGACUUAACAUGUUUUUACACAGGUGCAGAUUACGAACGCUAAUUAUUUGCACAUAUAGUACGGUUGCACAUCUCUUUUUUUUGUCCUGAUAAGUUAUAAAAAAUAUAACUAUUAAAGUAUCUUUAAUACACAUAAAUUUUUUUAGUAAAAAAUAAUGUGGAUGUUUCCUGCACGACAAAGAUCUCAUAUAAACAAAUGAUUAUGUAUGUGAUAUACAUAUGUGUAGCAAGGAUAGAAAGUACAAUAAACUUUCAAGCACAUUAAUCUGAAAAGAAAUCCUCUUAUGAUUUUCUUUGCACAAAUAUGAUAGUGAAAUACGAUUAAUCUAUCACACAACUCCAAUUCAAUCGUGAAAGAUUUUCUUUAAGAAUUUAUUGGUUAAUACAAGAAUAUAAAAUACAAAUAACCUAUGGUGCUUAGCGUAAUCAAGAAUUGCAGAAAUCAAACUUUUAUAUAUUAUUUGCUACAGUGUUACAUACUACUUCUCCAAAUAAUUCUUUUUAGUCUGCAUAUAAGAUUUGCCUGAAGUCAAACUUCAUAAAGUUUGAGCAUAUUUAUAUUGAAAAAUAUUAACAUGUACAAUACUAAAGUCACAGAGUAUAAAAAUUAAGAUUCAUGCCGCAUUUAAUGAUAUUGAUUACACAUUGAGAAUAUUGAUAUUUUUUCUGUAAGUUGGUCAAACUUUACGUUGUUUUACUUCAAAUAAAUCUUCUAUACAGAGUAAAAUAUCUGGCGGGAGUAUUUAAUAUUAGAAGUGCUAGCCCGUGCUGAUGCACGGGUUGAUGACUAGUAGAUUAUUAACUAUCAAAGUCAUAUGGCCCUAGCAAGACAUUGUUCAGGCCGCCCAGCUUGAUCAACUCCUCGUUAUCGUUGAUAACUGUCUGGCUUUUCAUGGGAAGCUCAUGCCGGCAGUUGCUGACAUGGUCAGUCGCCUUCUCCACACACUCGGGCAGUUCAAAGAACCACGGGCCGUCGGCGUCGCCCAUGGGGACACGGAAGUCCCUGAGCAUGGCGUCGCAGAGGCCGAGGGUACCGAUAGCAGCAUCGUAAUCCACCUGGCAAUACCUGAGGCCGAGCGCCUCCUCCGUACCUUUCUUGGCUUUCUGGAGUGCUUCCUUCACCUUGCCGCCGGCAGCCGCCAUGUGGAUCUUGAGGAUGUCAACGGCGACGAGCGACAGGUCGCGGAGGUCCUUGGACUCAGAGCUCCUUUUGUCGGACCGGAGAGUCUGCACGCAGAAUUCCUGGGUGACGUUCAGGUGCUUGUUGCGGCAGCUGCUCGAAGCGUUCUUGCAGGUUUCUACCACGAGGUCUACCACCUUGACCUUGUCGUUGCGCCGCCGGCAUGUGCGCCGAUGCACACAAAAAGGAGCAUGAUUGCAACCAAGAAGGCAGCGGUCGCCCGUGUGGUUGCCAUUGCUGCAAGGAUAGCUGCAAUUGUAUUGUAGGCUUUGUAGCUGAGAGAGAGGUGAAGAUGAAUUGAUAGUCAGAUUUUGUAGUGCAAAGAUGGAGGUGGUGUACGGUUCUUGUGACAUCUAUAUAGUGCAGCAGCAGGUUCAUAAAUCCAAUGCAGCUUAGUCACGGAUAUCCAAAUAAUUAGUAUUUCAGACACUAUAUGCGCAGAUAUGUGUUGGAAAAAUGAGCAAAUUACUACGAGAUUUAAUCCGAAUAAAUAGGAAAUAGAUCAUGACAGCAAUAGCAGAUAUUAAACUAAUCAUGCGAACUAGCAUACUAGAUGAACAGAUCACAUCUAGGACACAUACUAGAAACAUGAGUUCUACGGUGCAGCACCGCCGGCGUUGACGUUGUCGCCCAUGUCGUCGAGGAUGAGGUUGCCGAGGUCGGGGAAGAAGUCGUCGUUCGCGAAGUCGUCGCUGCCAGCAGUCGCGCGAGUGCGCUCCCCAAAAACCUGAUCGCCCCUCUCCCAUACAGGAUCACGAGAGGCAGGGUUCUAGAGGCCUGCUGUCCCUUCUCCCGGUGCACGCCGAAAGGAGGGAUGGAGAAGACUUGCUUGGCGGCGCAAUGAUCUGGAACGGUGGUCAGAAACCAUACGAAGCGGCGGCGGCUAGGAUAGACGUCUGCCUGACUAUAUAGUGCGGGCCGGGUAGGUCCUGGGAGUAAACCCCACGUCCGAGUCAUCACGAUCCAAAAGAAUCGGAAAUGGUUCAGUAAUUAAUGAGUCCAUUAAUUAUUAAUUAAUGACUCAUUAAUUUUUCCCGAGCAGCAAAAAUAUAGACAGCGUGCAUAGCUCUGUCCUCGGCUUGGCUCAAUCCCGCGGCGCGGCGGGGCGGGGCGAGGCGAGCGAGGAGGAGGAGCGCGCGUGUAGGUCUCCUCUUCUCAUGCUCAUACAAGUGGUAGAAAAGCUCACCUUAUAAAGAGGUGCAACUCUCUCUCAACUUUCGGGGUGGGACUAAACUUUAGUCUCACCCACUCCACUCACAUGUGUGCAUGAAUGGGCCAAGAGAAUUUCAGAAUUUUAGUUGGGCUUUGGGCCAAGGCCUACUAGCAAAAUUCCAACAAUCCCCCACAAAGUCUCAUUGGCACAUCUCAUCAUUUAGUUCCAAAACAUUGUUUAUAUACCGGUGCUUAGUGGAGACUGUGAAGUUGAACUUCCACUUAAAGAUUUAUGCUACACUAGAUCACAACUUGAAUAGUGGACUAUGCCUUGAACUACAAGUUUUCUGCGAAACUAGUUUCACACAAAUUCUUGACCGAUACUGGGCUGCCGCAAGGCUUCCCCGCGGGUGGAGCGUAUACGCCAUACUCCAGGGCAUUUUCAUGAAUUUAUUAGAGAACACCCAAUUCUCACAGACUGCGACGUUAACAGUCAAAUUCAUAUAGGUGUGUUCCUCAGAAGAUGUUCUGCAGGACAACAUCUCUGCUUACCCGAAUAAGCCACUUGGAACACAUUAAGAUAAGUAUCAACCUGCCAUGCAGAUCAGGAGAGUAUUGCAUCUUCACGGAGUGGGAUAGUUAAUAUAGGGAUACUCUCCUCCCAGCUGACCAACAGCUUGUCUCCCACUUCUACUUCACGGGAUCUCCGAUCACAUAGAGUGGGUUACCACUAUGGACAACUCAUGCGGUGGGUCUCAAACCCAUCUCCAUCGAUGCAUUAUCUAUCACAUUAUGUGAUAGACCCUUUGUGAAGGGAUCUGCCAUGUUUUUCGAUGUUUGGAUAUAAUCCAACGUAAUAACUCCGGAGUUCCUCAAUUUUCUGACAGAUUUUAGUCUCCUCUUCACAUGUCUUGAGGACUUCAUAUUGUCCUUCGAACUGUUUAUCUUGACAAUCACAGUUUGAUUAUCACAGUUCAUCAGGAUAGGGGGUAUUGGUUUUUCAACCAUAGGUAAGUCCAUCAAGAGUUCACGAAGCCACUCUGCUUCAACAGUGGCAGUGUCUAAUGCUGUGAGUUCUGCUUCCAUAGUUGACCUCAUUAAGAUGGUCUGCUUGCAAGACUUCCAGGAAAUAGCGCCACCACCAAGUGUAAAAACAUAACCACUCGUGGGCUUUAUCUCAUCAGAAUCAGAUAUCCAGUUUAAGUCACUAUAACCCUGCAGUACCCUUGGAUACCCGGUGUAGUGAAUCCCAUAGCUCGCGUAGCCUUUCAAAUAGCGAAUAACUCUCUCAAGAGCAUGCCAAUGAUCAUCUCCCGGUUUUGACACAAACCGACUCAGCUUGCUCACAGCAAAAGAGAUGUCAGGCCUCGUGGCACUCGCCAAAUACAUAAGCGAGCCAAUAAUCUAAGAAUACCUCAGUUGAUCUCUAGCAAUCCGUUGAUUCUUUCGAAGCAACACACUAGCAUCAUAUGGAGUUGGAGAAGGUGUGCAGUCGCUAUACCCAAAACGACUCAAGACCUUUUCCACAUAGUGAGACUGAAGCAGUGUGAUCCCACCAUUCUCAUCUCUCAACAGCUUGAUGUUUAAGAUAACAUCAGCUACUCCUAGAUCCUUCAUCUCAAAACAGCGAGAUAAGAAAUCCUUAACCUCCUUGAUUAAAUCAAGUUUGGUUCCAAAGAUCAAUAUGUCGUCGACAUAUAGACAAAGAAUAACUCCUUCACCCCCACCAUAGCAAUAGUACACGCACUUGUCACCAUCAUUUACUACAAAGCCGGCAGCAGUUAAUGUCCUUUCGAACUUCUCAUGCCACUCCUUAGGAGCUUGUUUAAGGCCAUAUAAAGACUUUAAUAACUUGCACACCUUUCCUUCCUGACCAGGUACUACAAAACCAUCUGGCUGAUCCAUGUAAAUUUCCUCCUUCAACUCUCCAUUGAGGAAAGCCGUCUUGACGUCCAUUUGAUGAACGAGAAGACCAUGUGAGGCAGCCAGUGAUAGUAGCACCUGAAUUGUGGUCAGUCUAGCCACAGGUGAGUAAGUAUCAAAGAAGUAUUCACCUUCUUUCUGGGUAUAACCCUUAGCCACAAGCCGUGCCUUGUUCUUUUCAAUCGUACCAUCAGGUCUAAGAUUCUUCUUGAACACCCACUUACAUCCUAAAGGUUUGCACCCAUAAGGACGACCAGUGAUCUCCCAGGUUCCGUCAGCUAAGAUGGAAUCCAUCUCGCUACGUACAGCUUCCUUCCAGUAGUCAGCAUCAGGAGAUGCUUAGGCUUCUCUAAUAGUCCUGGGUGUGUCAUCCACGAGGUACACAAUGAAAUCAUCACCAAAGGACUUUGUAGUCCUCUGUCUCUUACUCCUCACAGGAGUUCCAUUGUCACCCUCAACAGGAUUCUCAACGUGUUCCAUCGCAAUGGUGGGUUCAGGAAUUACAGUGAAUUCCUCACUAGAUGGAGUAGGUAUCUCCUGAUUUGAUGAACUCGACAUGUCCUUCAUAGGAAAUAUGUCCUCAAAGAAAGUUGCAUCAUUCGACUCCAUAAUCGUACCAACAUGCAUGUUGGAUACCUCAAAUUUUAUUAUCAAAAAUCUAUAGCCGAUGCUAUGAAAAGCAUAGCCCAGAAGAACACAAUCCACGGUUUUUGGUCCAAGCUUGCGCUUCUUGGGAAUUGGUAUAUUGACUUUCUCCAAACAACCCCAAGUACGUAGGUAAGAGAGUUUCAACCUUUUCCUUUCCCAUUCCUCAAAUGGAGUCAUGGUCUUAUGCUUUGUGGGAACUCGGUUUACGAUAUGACAUGCAGUCAUUAGCGCCUCCCCCCACCAUUCCUUGGAUAGACCCGAAGUGUCUAACAUGGUGUUAACCAUAUCAGUUAGAGUUCGGUUCUUUCUUUUGGCUACCCCAUUUGACUGGGGUGAGUAGGGAGGCGUCCUCUCAUGGAUUAUACCAUGUUCCGCACAAAACAGAUCAAAUUCAUUGGAAAAAUACUCUCCACCACGAUCAGACCUAAGCCGUUUAAUUUUUCGAUCAAGUUGGUUCUCUGCCUCAGCUUUAUAGUUUUUGAAGAAAGUAAAAGCCUCAUAUUUUGAUUUCAGAAGAUACACAUAACAAUAUCUAGUGGAGUCAUCAAUCAACAUCAUGAAGUAUCUUUUUCCACCUUUUGUCAACACGACAUUCAUCUCACAAAGAUCAGAAUGUAUAAGCUCUAGUGGUGCCAAGUCUCUUGCCUCUGUAGUCUUAUGGGACUUGCGAGGUUGCUUAGCUUGCACACAUACUUGGCACUUAGAGCCUUUGACAGUAGAGAUUUUCAGAAUUAAAUUCAUAUUGGCUAGCCAUGUCAUGCAACCAAAGUUAAUGUGACAAAGUCGUGAAUGCCAAAUAUCUGACUCAUUGUUGUGGCAAACAUUAUUAAUAACUUUAGUGCAAAUAUCUGACAAAGACAGGCGGAACAAGCCUCCGCUCUCAUAGCCUUUUCCAACAAAUUGUCCAUACUUAGAAAUUACAACAUUAUUGGAUUCGAAAACCAACUUAAAACCAUCUCAACAUCAAUGGGAACCGCUAACGAGAUUUUUAUUGAUGGACGGCACAUGAUGAACGUUCUUCAGACGCACGGUCUUCCCCGAAGUAAACUUCAGAUCGACCGUACCAACACCUCGAACGAUGGCAUGUGACCCGUUCCCCAUCAGCAUGGGAGAAGUCCCAGUGGCCUGGUAAGAAGAAAACUUGGAGGCGUCAGCACAAACAUGUACAUUGGCACCGGUGUCAAUUAACCAAUCAGGGGAUUGAAAUACUGAAAGGAUGGUAGGAAAAAUACCGUAUCCUGAUUCCUUCAUAUCAGUAUCACCGAUAACAACAUUAGCGGACUUGCCGCUCUUGUCAUGUUCGCGCUCCUCAAAACGGUUAGGACACUUCGGAGCCCAGUGAUUAGGAUCACCGCAAACAUGGCAAAGUCCCUUCCCCUUCUUAUGAGAAUUCUUCUUGAAGUUGGUAGAAUGUGAUGGCUUGUUCUUUGUAUCAAACUUACCUUUGCCCUGAGUUUUGUUCUUGUUGUUUUUGAACUUUUUGGGAUGGAAGUUCUUCUUCUGUACCAUUUGGGCACUAGAACCUCCCUCAGCAACUCGAGCACGUGUGUCCUUUGCUCUCGCCUUCUCUUCAACAUCAAGAGUACCAAUGAGAUCCGCAACGGAAAACUCCUGUCUCUUGUGUUUCAGGGAAGUAGAAAAAUUAUUCCACGAAGGUGGAAGCUUGGCAAUGAUGCCUCCGGCAACACACACUUGAAGUAAUCAAGUUCUUUUGCGAGUGACUGUAUCUCAUUAGCCUGCUGUACAACAAGGCGCUCAUCAGUCAUCUUGUAGUCAUAGAAUUGCUCCAUGACGUACAACUCGCCGCCGGCGUCCGAGGCACCAAACUUGGCCUCGAGCGCAGCCCACAUGUCCUUGCCAUUGUAAAAUGAGAUAUACGAAUCGAUCUUCUCAAAAGCUUCCAGCUGUGCUGGAUUAAGAUCGCCCUCAGGCUUGCCCUUGGUGGCGUCAUAGCAGCCCAUGGUCUGAAACAAGUAGACUGCUAUCGUGCGCCACCUCUUAUAUUGCGCCCCUUUAAUGGCAGGCAGCUUCAAAUGCGCAGCAAAAUACGAGAUUUAAUCCGAAUAAAUAGGAAAUAGAUCAUGACAUCAAUAGCAGAGAUUAAACUAACCCCGGGUAGGUCAUGGGACAACGUGCAUAGCUCUGUCCUCGGCUCAAUCCUGCAACCCGCGGCGCGGCACUCGUGUAGGUCUCCUCUUCUCAUGGUCAUACAAGUGGUAGAAUAGCUCACCUUAUAAAGAGGUGCAACUCUCUCUCAACUUCCGGGGUGGGACUAAACUUUAGUCUCACUCACUCCACUCACAUGUGUGCAUGAAUGGGCCAAGAGAAUUUCAGAAUUUUAGUUGGGCUUUGGGCCAAAGGCCUACUAGCAAAAUUCCAACAAUAUGUAGAUCCACAUUUUGGGUGUGCUAGUAUUAAUACGUGUGGCAUGAGUGUGUUCUUGUUUUAUGUAUUUCUAGAGUGAAUCUCACGUUAUUUCCCCAUAUCAUAAAAUGGAUUUGGGACAUUAAAGGAAGAUUAUGCGCAUUUUGCACUUGAUAAUCUAUCUAUCUUCUACGUUUAUAUAUCUAUCUAUAUCUAUCUCUAUAUUCAUCCCUAUAUCUAUACCUAUCUAUAUGUAUACUAUAUAUGUAUAUUUAUAUCUACACCUAUCUAUCUAUCUAUCUAUCUAUCUUUAUAUCUAUAUCUCUAUCUAUCUAUACCUAUACUUCUACUCCCUCCGUCCCAAAAUAAGUAUCUCAAGCUUAGUACAAGUUCGUACUAAAGUUAAUACAAAGUUGAGACACUUAUUUUGAGACGGAGAAAGUACUAAUUAGGCACUCCCUAGAAAUUACCAUGUUAAUCGGUAAAAUUCAAGAUAAUUGGAAACCCAUGCCCCUUCGUAAAUACAUGUAAUUGCUUACACCAUUUAGGAUAUGCUUGCAUGAUGGAUAUAUACGAUACACAUGCAUCAUUAUUAACCCGGAACACCUUUAAGAUUACAUUAAAAAUGGCAUCCAGGAGACACUAUAUUAAAUAAUACUGCCCAUGAUUAAAUAGGAGGAAAUCCAAUUCUCCAUCGAGGUAUAUGUGCAAAGAGUUAAACAUUGAUCAUUUGGAUAUUCAUGGGGCAUAUUGCAUUUGGAAACCCCUACUCAGUGCACUAUAUAGUAUAUAUAAGCCAUAAUCAUAGCUACGUACUCCACCUCAACCCAUCCAUCUCUGCACUGCAGUUCCAUUUGAUCCAUUCAUCGUCUCCCUCAGCUACAAUAUAAUUUUCUAGCAAGCCUGGCAGCAAUGGAAAUGGUGCAAACCACCUCCUUAGCAUUCACUGGAAUUGUCAUCAUUCUCCUUUCCAUGGCCAUCACCAUUCAAGCUUCCGACACCAAGCCCAUGCCGUCAGGCAUCACGUUGGAAGCAUGCAAGAAUGUCUCGAGUGACUUCUUCAAGGUGCGCUCCACAUAUGACUUUUGUGUAUCAACGCUCCAGUCAGACAAACGAAGCAUCAACGCGAAGGACUGCCGCAUCCUAGCUCUUGUGGACGUCGACGCCAUGAAGCCCCAAGCCACGGCCGUGAUGGCCAAGGUUGAGAACUUGAUCCAUGGUGCCACCAAGGACAAGCUCGCGACUCGCGCCCUUGGGUUCUGCCAAGUGGACUACGGUGGCAUGGUGAGCACCCUCGAAAUCUGCCAUGAUAUCAUCCAGAACUUUGAGGUUCGUAAAGGCAAUGAAGGUCCGACGCCCUACGACCUGCCUGAUUGCAUUGCGAAAACAACCAAAGCCAUCAACGAUUGCUCUGACAAAACAAAGUUUACGUCGGUUACAAAAGGGCUAACAAAGGAAUAUGAGGAGUUAUCUAUGAUGAUCAGCCUCAGCAGCUCUUUGCCACAUCUCUACAUCACAUCACCCUGAUUUUUCUGGAAAAAUAUGAUUUUAUAGCGUCGGUUUUAGGGUCUGCGAGGCCACCAGGUGGGGACAACCCACCUAGGCGCGCUUGGAGGGGGCACGCCAUGGUGGGUUGUGCCCACCCAGGUGCCCCCCUUCCGGUGGUUCAUGGCUCCAGAAAUUCUCUUUAUUGAUAUGAAAAAUCCUUGCAAAGUUUCGUUCCAUUCUUAAAACUUUUAUUUCUGCACAAAAACAACACCAUGGUAGUUCUGCUGAAAACAGCAUCAGUCCGGGGUUAGUUUCAUUCAAGUCAUGCAAAUUAGAGUCCAAAACAAGAGGAAAAGCAUUGGGAAAAGUAGAUGUGUUGGAGACCUAACGGUGGCGGCGGGAAACAAAUGAGGAAAGGGUGGCGUGUUCAUAAAACGCCACCAAUCAAUGGAAACUUAGCAUAGAAGGAACAUUGAGCUAGCACAACGUGUGUGUGCACAUUGCUCACCCAAGGCUAUGAUCCAUAUACUUGUGUGCCCAACAGAGCACACUAUUCAUAGUAAAGAAUAUUGUUAUGUUUAUCCUAGUAGAGCAGUGGCAGCAAGCGACACAAGAAGAAGUAGAUGAUGAUCAGAUGAUGGUUUAUCCUAAUUAAUUAUGCAUGUAAUAGUUUACUUUGGCGUGUGGAAAUGUCAUGUGUACUAGGAAACUAUGUAAUUGGAUGUUUAAUUUGACUGUGGAAUCAUGUCCUUAUAUCAUGAUAAAUCUUUAUUAUUCAUGCUAGAAUUGUAUUAACUGAAAACAUAAUACAUGUGUGAAUACAUAGACAAACAAAGUGUCACUAGUAUGCCUCUACUUGACUAGCUGGUUGAUCAAAGAUGGUUAUGUUUCCUAGCCAUAGACAUGAGUUGUCAUUUGAUUAACGGGAUCACAUCAUUAGGAGAAUGAUGUGAUUGACAUGACCCAUUCCGUUAGCUUAGCACCGGAUCAUUUAGUAUGUUGCUAUUGCUUUCUUCAUGACUUAUAAUGUUCCUAUGACUAUGAGAUUAUGCAACUCCUCUUUACCGGAGUAACACUUUGUGUGCUACCAAACGUCACAACGUAACUGGGUGAUUAUAAAGGAGCUCUACAGGUGUCUCCAAAGGUACAUGUUGGGUUGACGUAUUUCGAGAUUAGGAUUUGUCACUCCGAUUGUCGGAGAGGUAUCUCUGGGCCCUCUCGGUAAUGCACAUCACUUAAGCCUUGCAAGCAUUGCAACUAAUGAGUUAGUUGCGGGAUGAUGUAUUAUGGGACGAGUAAAGAGACUUGCCGGUAACGAGAUUGAACUAGGUAUUGAGAUACUGACGAUCGAAUCUCGGGCAAGUAACAUGCCGAUGACAAAGGGAACAACGUAUGUUGUUAUGCGGUCUGACCGAUAAAGAUCUUCGUAGAAUAUGUAGGAGCCAAUAUGAGCAUCCAGGUUCCUCUAUUGGUUAUUGACCGGAGACGUGUCUCGGUCAUGUCUACAUAGUUGUCGAACCCGUAGGGUCCGCACGCUUAACGUUUCGAUGAUAGUUAUAUUAUGAGUUUAUAUGUUUUGAUGUACCGAAGGUUGUUCGGAGUCCCGGAUGUGAUCACGGACAUGAAGAGGAGUCUCGAAAUGGUCGAGACAUGAAGAUUGAUAUAUUGGAAGCCUAUGUUUGGAUAUCAGAAGUGUUCCGAGUGAAAUCGGGAUUUUACCGGAGUACCGGGAGGUUAGCGGAACCCCCAGUAACUUAAUGGGCCUUAGUGGUCCUAGGUGGAAGAGAGGAGAGGAGGCAAGGGCUGGCCGCGCGCCCCUCCCCCCUAGUCCGAAUAGGACAAGGAGAGGGGGGUGGCGCCCCCCCCCCUUCUUUCUCCUCCACUCCUUCCCCCUCCCAAGUCCUAAUCCAACUAGGAAAGGGGGGAGUCCUACUCCCGGUGGGAGUAGGACUCCUCCGGCGCGCCUCCUCCUAUGGCCGGCUGCACCCCCCCCCCUUGCUCCUUUAUAUACGGGGGCAGGGGGGCAUCCCAUAGAUACAACAAUUGAUCAUUUGAUCUUUUAGCCGUGUGUGGUGCCCCCCUCCACCAUAGUCCACCUCGAUAAUACUGUAGCGGUGCUUAGGCGAAGCCCUGCAUUGGUAGAACAUCAUCAUCUUCACCACGCCGUCGUGCUGACGAAACUCUCCCUCAACACUCGGCUGGAUCGGCGUUCGAGGGACGUCAUCGGGCUAAACGUGUGCUGAACUCGGAGGUGCCGUGCGUUUGGUACUUGAUCAGACAGAUCGUGAAGACGUACGACUACAUCAACCGCGUUGUGCUAAGGCUUGCGCUUUCGGUCUACGAGGGUACGUGGCCAACACUCUCCCCUCUCGUUGCUAUGCAUCACCAUGAUCUUGCGUGUGCAUAGGAAUUUUUUUGAAAUUACUACGUUCCCCAACAAUGGCAUCCGAGCCUGAUUUUAUGCGUAGAUGUCAUAUGCACGUGUAGAACACAAGUGAGUUGUGGGCGAUAUAAGCCAUACUGCUUACCAGCAUGUCAUACUUUGGUUCGGCGGUAUUGUUGGAUGAAGCGGCCCGGACCGACAUUACGCGUACGCUUACGCGAGACUGGUUCUACCGACGUGCUUUGCACAGAGGUGGCUGGCGGGUGUCAGUCUCUCCAACUUUAGUUGAACCGAGUGUGGCUACGCCCGGUCCUUGCGAAGGUUAAAACAGCACCAACUUGACAAACUAUCAUUGUGGUUUUUGAUGCGUAGGUAAGAAUGGUUCUUGCUAAGACCGUAGCAGCCAUGUAAAACUUGCAACAACAAAGUAGAGGAUGUCUAACUUGUUUUUGCAGGGCAUGUUGUGAUGUGAUAUGGUCAAGACAUGAUGCUAAAUUUUGUUGUAUGAGAUGAUCAUGUUUUUAACCGAGUUAUCGGCAACUGGCAGGAGCCAUAUGGUUGUCGCUUUAUUGUAUGCAAUGCAAUCGACCUGUAAUGCUUUACUUUAUCACUAAGCGGUAGCGAUAGUCGAAGAAGCAUAAGAUUGGCGAGACGACAACGAUGCUACGAUGGAGAUCAAGGUGUCGCGCCGGUGACGACGGUGAUCACGGAGGUGCUUCGGAGAUGGAGAUCACAAGCACAAGAUGAUGAUGGCCAUAUCAUAUCACUUAUAUUGAUUGCAUGUGAUGUUUAUCUUUUAUGCAUCUUAUCUUGCUUUGAUUGACGAUAGCAUUAUAAGAUGAUCCCUCACUAAAUUAUCAAAGUAUAAGUGUUCUCCCUGAGUAUGCACUGUUGCGAAAAUUCUUCGUGCUGAGACACCACGUGAUGAUCAGGUGUGAUAGGCUCUACGUUCAAAUACAAUGGGUGCAAAACAGUUGCACACGCGGAAUACUUAGGUUAAACUUGACGAGCCUAGCAUAUAACAGAUAUGGCCUCAGAACACGGAGACCGAAAGGUCGAGCGUGAAUCAUAUAGUAGAUAUGAUCAGCAUAGUGAUGUUCACCAUUGAAACUACUCCAUCUCACGUGAUGAUCGGACAUGGUUUAGUUGAUUUGGAUCACGUGAUCACUUAGAGGAUUAGAGGGAUGUCUAUCUAAGUGGGAGUUCUUAAGUAAUAUGAUUAAUUGAACUUAAAUUUAUCGUGAACUUAGUACCUGAUAGUAUCUUGCUUGUUUAUGUUGAUUGUAGAUAGAUGGCCCGUGCUGUUGUUCCGUUGAAUUUUAAUGUGUUCCUUGAGAAAGCAAAGUUGAAAGAUGAUGGUAGCAAUUACACGGACUGGGUCCGUAACUUGAGGAUUAUCCUCACUGCUGCACAGAAGAAUUACGUCCUGGAAGUACCGCUGGGUGCCAGGCCUGCUGCAGGAGCAACACCAGAUGCUAUGAACAUCUGGCAGAGCAAAGCUGAUGACUACUCGAUAGUUCAGUGUGCCAUGCUUUACGGCUUAGAACCGGGACUUCAACGGCGUUUUGAACGUCAUGGAGCAUAUGAGAUGUUCCAGGAGUUGAAGUUAAUAUUUCAAGCAAAUGCCCGGAUUGAGAGAUAUGAAGUCUCCAAUAAGUUCUAUAGCUGCAAGAUGGAGGAGAACAGUUCUGUCAGUGAGCAUAUACUCAAAAUGUCUGGGUAUAAUAAUCACUUGAUUCAAUUGGGAGUUAAUCUUCCAGAUGAUUGCGUCAUUGACAGAAUUCUCCAAUCACUGCCACCAAGCUACAAGAGCUUCGUGAUGAACUAUAAUAUGCAAGGGAUGAAUAAGACUAUUCCCGAGCUCUUCGCAAUGCUGAAAGCUGCGGAAGUAGAAAUCAAGAAGGAGCAUCAAGUGUGUAUGGUCAACAAGACCACCAGUUUCAAGAAAAAGGGCAAAGGGAAGAAGAAGGGGAACUUCAAGAAGAACAGCAAACAAGUUGCUGCUCAAGAGAGGAAACCCAAGUCUGGACCUAAGCCUGAAACUGAGUGUUUCUACUGCAAGCAAACUGGUCACUGGAAGCGGAACUGCCCCAAGUAUUUGGCGGAUAAGAAGGAUGGCAAGGUGAACAAAGGUAUAUGUGAUAUACAUGUUAUUGAUGUGUACCUUACUAAUGCUCGCAGUAGCACCUAGGUAUUUGAUACUGGUUCUAUUGCUAAUAUUUGCAACUCAAAACAGGGGUUACAGAUUAAGCAAAGAUUGGCUAAGGACAAGGUAACGAUGAGCGUGGGAAAUGGUUCCAAAGUUGAUGUGAUCGCAGUCGGAAUGCUACCUCUACAUCUACCUUCGGGAUUAGUAUUAGACCUAAAUAAUUGUUAUUUGGUGCCAGCGUUGAGCAUGAAUAUUAUAUCUGGAUCUUAUUUGAUGCAAGACGGUUAUUCAUUUAAAUCAGAGAAUAAUGGUUGUUCUAUUUAUAUGAGUAAUAUCUUUUAUGGUCAUGCACCCUUGAAGAGUGGUCUAUUCUUAUUGAAUCUUGAUAGUAGUGACACACAUAUUCAUAAUGUUGAAGCCAAAAGAUGCAGAGUUGAUAAUGAUAGUGCAACUUAUUUGUGGCACUACCGUUUAGGUCAUAUCGGUGUAAAGCGCAUGAAAAAACUCCAUACCGAUGGACUUUUGGAACCACUUGAUUAUGAAUCACUCUCUACUUGCGAACUGUGCCUCAUGGGCAAAAUGACUAAAACACCGUUCUCCGAUACUAUGGAGAGAGCAACAGAUUUGUUGGAAAUCAUACAUACAGAUGUAUGUGGUCCGAUGAAUGUUGAGGCUCGUGGCGGAUAUCGUUAUUUUCUCACCUUCACAGAUGACUUAAGAAGAUAUGGGUAUAUCUACUUAAUGAAACAUAAGUUUGAAACAUUUGAAAAGUUCAAAGAAUUUCAGAGUGAAGUUGAAAAUCAUCGUAACAAGAAAAUAAAGUUUCUACGAUCUGAUCAUGGAGGAGAAUAUUUGAGUUACGAGUUUGGUGUACAUUUAAAAAAUGCGGAAUAGUUUCGAAACUCACGCCACCCGGAACACCACAACAUAAUGGUGUGUCCAAACGUCGUAAUCGUACUUUACUAGAUAUGGUGCGAUCUAUGAUGUCUCUUACUGAUUUACCGCUAUCGUUUUGGGGUUAUGCUUUAGAGACGGCCGCAUUCACGUUAAAUAGGGCACCAUCAAAAUCCGUUGAGACGACGCCUUAUGAACUGUGGUUUGGCAAAAAACCGAAGUUGUUGUUUUUGAAAGUUUGGGGCUGCGAUGCUUAUGUGAAAAAGCUUUAACCUGAUAAGCUCGAACCCAAAUCGGAGAAAUGUGUCUUCAUAGGAUACCCAAAGGAGACCGUUGGGUACACCUUCUAUCACAGAUCCGAAGGCAAGAUUUUUGUUGCUAAAUUAGGAAACUUUCUAGAGAAGGAGUUUCUCUCGAAAGAAGUGAGUGGGAGGAAAGCAGAACUUGAUGAGGUAACUGUACUUGCUCCCUUAUUGGAAAGUAGUUCAUCACGGAAACCGGCUUCCGUGACACCUACACCAAUCAGUGAGGAAGUUAAUGAUGAUGAUCAUGAAACUUCAGACCAAGUUACUACUGAGCCUCAUAGAUCAACCAGAGUAAGAUCCGCAGCAGAGUGGUACGGUAGUCCUGUUCUGGAAGUCAUGCUACUAGAUCAUGAUGACCCUACGAACUAUGAAGAAGCGAUGGUGAGCCCAGAUUCCGCAAAAUGGCUUGAGGCCAUGAAAUCUGAGAUGGGAUCCAUGUAUGAGAACAAAGUAUGGACUUUGGUUGACUUGCCUGAUGAUCGGCAAGCAAUUGAAAAUAAAUGGAUCUUCAAGAAGAAGACUGACACUGACGGUAAUGUUACUGUCUACAAAGCUCGACUUGUUGUGAAAGGUUUUCGACAAGUUCAAGGGAUUGACUAUGAUGAGACCUUCUCACUCGUAGCGAUGCUUAAGUCUGUCCGAAUCAUGUUAGCAAUUACCAUAUUUUAUGAUUAUGAAAUUUGGCAAAUGGAUGUCAAAACUGCAUUUCUGAAUGGAUUUCUAGAAGAAGAGUUGUAUAUGAUGCAACCAGAAGGUUUUGUGGAUCCAAAGGGAGCUAACAAAAUGUGCAAGCUCCAGCGGUCCAUUUAUGGACUGGUGCAAGCCUCUCAGAGUUGGAAUAAACGCUUUGAUAGUAUGAUCAAAGCAUUUGGUUUUGUACAGACUUUUGGAGAAGCCUGUAUUUAUAAGAAAGUGAGUGGGAGCUCUGUAGCAUUUCUAAUAUUAUAUGUACAUAUUGCUGGUUGGAAAUGAUAUAGAAUUUCUAGAUAGCAUAGGGAUACUUGAAUAAGAGUUUUUCAAUGAAAGACGACCUCGGUGAAGCUGCUUAUAUAUUGGGCAUUAAGAUAUAUAGAGAUAGAUCAAGACGCUUAAUUGGACUUUCACAAAGCACAUACCUUGAAAAAGUUUUGAAGAAGUUCAAAAUGGAUCAAGCAAAGAAAGGGUUCUUGCCUGUGUUACAAGGUGUGGAGUUCAGUAAGACUCAAUGCCCGACCACUGCAGAAGAUAGAGAGAAAAUGAAAGAUGUUCCCUAUGCUUCAGCCAUAGGCUCUAUCAUGUAUGCAAUGUUGUGUACCAGACCUGAUGUGUGCCUUGCUAUAAGCCUAGCAGGGAGGUACCAAAGUAAUCCAGGAGUGGAUCACUGGACAGCGGUCAAGAACAUCCUGAAAUACCUGAAAAGGACUAAGGAUAUGUUUCUCAUUUAUGGAGGUGACAAAGAGCUCAUCGUAAAUGGUUACGUUGAUGCAAGCUUUGACACUGAUCCGGACGAUUCUAAAUCACAAACCGGAUACGUGUUUACAUUGAACGGUGGUGCUGUCAGUUGGUGCAGUUCUAAACAAAGCGUCGUGGCGGGAUCUACGUGUGAAGCGGAGUACGUAGCUGCUUCAGAAGCAGCAAAUAAAGGAAUCCAGAUUUCAGAAGAGAUAUAGAUUUGCAAGAUACAUACGGAUCUGAAUGUUGCAGACCCGUUGACUAAGCCUCUUCCACGAGCAAAACAUGAUCAGCACCAAGGCUCCAUGGGUGUUAGAAUCAUUACUGUGUAAUCUAGAUUAUAGACUCUAGUUUAAGUGGGAGACUGAAGGAAAUAUGCCCUAGAGGCAAUAAUAAAGUUAUUAUUUAUUUCCUUAUAUCAUGAUAAAUGUUUAUUAUUCAUGCUAGAAUUGUAUUAACCGAAAACAUAAUACAUGUGUGAAUACAUAGACAAACAAAGUGUCACUAGUAUGCCUCUACUUGACUAGCUUGUUGAUCAAAGAUGGUUAUGUUUCCUAGCCAUAGACAUGAGUUGUCAUUUGAUUAACGGGAUCACAUCAUUAGGAGAAUGAUGUGAUUGACAUGACCCAUUCCGUUAGCUUAGCACCCGAUCGUCUAGUAUGUUGCUAUUGCUUUCUUCAUGACUUAUACAUGUUCCUAUGACUAUGAUAUUAUGCAACUCCCGUUUACCGGAGGAGCACUUUGUGUGCUACAAAACGUCACAACGUAACUGGGUGAUUAUAAAGGAGCUCUACAGGUGUCUCCAAAGGUACAUGUUGGGUUGGCGUAUUUCGAGAUUAGGAUUUGUCACUCCGAUUGUCGGAGAGGUAUCUCUGGGCCCUCUCGGUAAUGCACAUUACUUAAGCAUUGCAACUAAUGAGUUAGUUGCGGGAUGAUGUAUUAUGGGAUGAGUAAAGAUACUUGCCGGUAACGAGAUUGAACUAGGUAUUGAGAUACUGACGAUCGAAUCUCGGGCAAGUAACAUACCGAUGACAAAGGGAACAACGUAUGUUGUUAUGUGGUCUGACCGAUAAAGAUCUUCGUAGAAUAUGUAGGAGCCAAUAUGAGCAUCCAGGUUCCUCUAUUGGUUAUUGACCAGAGACGUGUCUCGGUCAUGUCUACAUAGUUCUCGAACCCGUAGGGUCCGCACGCUUAACGUUUCGAUGACAUUUAUAUUAUGAGUUUAUAUGUUUUGAUGUACCGAAGGUUGUUCGCUGUCCUGGAUGUGAUCACGGACAUGACGAGGAGUCUCGAAAUGGUCGAGACAUGAAUAUUGAUAUAUUGGAAGCCUAUGUUUGGAUAUCGGAAGUGUUUCGGGUGAAAUCUGGAUUUUACCGGAGUACCGGGAUGUUACCGGAACCCCCCGGUAACUAAAUGGGCCUUAGUGGGCCUAGGUGGAAGAGAGGAGAGGAGGCAAGGGCUGGCUGCGCGCCCCUCCCCCCCCCCCUAGUCCGAAUAGGACAAGGAGAGGGGGGCGGCGCCCCCCCCCCUUCCUUCCUUCUCCUCCACUCCUUCCCCCUCCCAAGUCCUAAUCCAACUAGGAAAGGGGGGAGUCCUACUCCCGGUGGGAGUAGGACUCCUCCGGCGCGCCUCCUCCUAUGGCCGGCCGCACCCCCCUUGCUCCUUUAUAUACGGGGGCAGGGGGCACCCCAUAGAUACAACAAUUGAUCGUUUGAUCUUUUAGCCGUGUGCGGUGCCCCCCUCCACCAUAGUCCACCUCGAUAAUACUAUAGCGGUGCUGAGGCGAAGCCCUACGUCGGUUGAACAUCAUCAUCGUCACCAUGCCGUCGUGCUGACGAAACUCUCCCUCAACACUCAGCUGGACCGGAGUUCAAGGGACGUCAUCGGGCUGAACGUGUGCUGAACUCGGAGGUGCCGUGCGUUCGGUACUUGAUCGGUCGGACCGUGAAGACGUAUGACUACAUCAACCGCGUUGUGCUAACACUUCCGCUUUCGGUCUACGAGGGUACGUGGACAACACACUCCCCUCUCGUUGCUAUGCAUCACCAUGAUCUUGCGUGUGCGUAGGAAAUUUUUUCAAAUUACUACGUUCCCCAACAGUCCUCAUAAAUGGCAUUGUACCUGCCCUACAACCUAGCUAUGAGCACUUGCCAUCGAAAGCAAAAAUAUGCUUCUCCUUCUGUGUUGUUUAUCCCAAGGAUAGGAUGAUGGAUAAAGACAUAUUAAUCCGGCUAUGGAUGGAAAGUGUCUUCGUUGCAUCAGAAACAGCAGGCCAACAAAUUUGCGAUGUUCUAUUUUGGAGAUGUUUCUUACAAGAUGUGGAUAUUGGUAGGAUGUCUUCAUACAUAAUAUACAUGAUUUCAUGCAUGAUCUUGUUGACUCUGUAAGAAGAAAUAAUUGCUUACUUAUGCAAGAAUCUUCAUCGUCCCAAGAAAUUGUGGAACGAUCUACUGAUGGGAGUUCAUUUCAAUAUGAGGUUCAACAUUCGUCACUUGAUUUUUUAGUAAUAUUGCCACUUCGUAGGAAAUUAUUGCUCCCUGUCCGCUCACGAUAUUAGUCUCAUGAGAGAAGGACUGUAUUAAGACUCCGCUGCAUAUGGUCACAUAUAAAUUCAUGUUCCUGCAAGCAUUGAAGUCAUCCUCAAUCAAAACGCACAUGGGAAACUUAAAGCAUCUUCACUACCUAGAUUGUUCUAAUUCUUGUAUGUUUGAAUUGCCUGAAUCCACUACGUACCAUCUUGCAUAUAUAGCUUCCAAAAACUAAGGCUCAACCAUCAUUUAUUCCUUUACUAGAAGAGAUGAAAUUUAUGAGAAGUCUUCGGCACAUCUUCCUUACUAACUAUGGUUGUUUGGACCACAUGCCACAAGGUAUUGGUUAAUUGAAUUCUCCGACCACAUUGAUGAAUUAUGUCAUUGAUAGUGAUUCGGGUUAUGGGAAUUGAUCAACAUGAAAAUUUGAGUCUAGGUGGUGCUCUUUCUUUUACUCAAUUGAUAAAGGUGAGUAGUGCAAAAAAGUGUUAAACAAGGCAAUAUGUCCACCAAAGCAUAAGUUGAAAUGAUUAUCACUCGAUUUGUACUGGGAUUAUAGAAGAAACUAUGGAGAUAAAGUACAUAAUAAUGCGAAAGGAAUAUUACAAGCCCUUCACCCUAAAAAAGGAUUAAAUUUUUAUUGUUAAUUAUGUUGUUAUACUGGAGCUAAAUUAUCAUCGUGGAUGCAAAACUCUACACUGUUCAAACACCUCCCUGAUUGCUAUUCAAGUAGAUGCAAGAACGGCAAGGAUCCCCACCAUUAUGGCAGCUUCCUUGCAUCAAGUAGUGGCGUUUGGAAUGCUUGAUGUGUAUAUGUGUUUGUAAUAAUGAUAAAAAAUGUGAGGAAUCCUGUAUUUCUCCACAAUCAUUCUUCCCAAAACUAGAAAACCUAAUAGAUAGCAACAUUCCAAAGCUACAGAGAUGGCACCAUGAGGUUGUGAUACGUCUCCAACGUAUCUAUAAUUUUUGAUUGUUCCAUGCUAUUAUAUUAUCUGUUUUGGAUGUUUAAUGGGCUUUAAUAUGCUCUUUUAUAUUAUUUUUGGGACUAACCUAUUAACCGAAGGCCCAGUGCAAAUUGCUGUUUUUUUUUGCCUAUUUCAGUGUUUCGCAGAAAAGGUUAUCAAAUGGAACGAAACCUUCGCGAGGAUCUUUCUUGGAACAAACGCAACCCAAGAGACUUGGAGUGGAAGUCAAGGAAGAAACGAGGCAGCCACGAGGCAGGAGGGCGCCCCCCCACCCUCGUGGGCCCCUCAUAGCUCCACCGACCUACUUCUUUCGCCUAUAUAUACUCUUAUACCCUGAAAACAUCGAGGGGAUCCACGAAACCACUUUUCCACUGCCGCAACCUUCUGUACCCGUGAGAUCCCAUCUUGGGGCCUUUUCCGGUGAUCGUCCAGAGGGGAUUCGAUCACGGAGGGCUUCUACAUCAACACCAUAGCCUCUCCGAUGAUGUGUGAGUAGUUUACCAUAGACCUUCGGGUCCAUAGUUAUUAGCUAGAUGGCUUCUUCUCUCUCUUUGGUUCUCAAUACAAAGUUCUCCUCGAUUUUCUUGGAGAUCUAUUCGAUGAAAAACCUUUUGCGGUGUUUUUGCCGAGAUCCAAUGAAUUGUGGGUCUAUGAUCAAGAUUAUCUAUGAAAAAUAUUUGGUUCUUCUCUGAAUUCUUAUAUGCAUGAUUUAAUAUCUUUGCAAGUCUCUUCGAAUUAUCGGUUUAGUUUGGCCUACUAGAUUGAUCUUUCUUGCAAUGGGAAAAGUGCUUAGCUUUGGGUUCAAUCUUGCGGUGCUCGAUCCCAGUGACAGAAAGGGAAACGACAUGUGUUGUAUUGUUGCCAUCGAGGAUAAAAAUAUGGGGUUUAUAUCAUAUUGCUUGAGUUUAUCCCUCUACAUCAUGUCAUCUUGCCUAAUGCGUUACUCUAUUCUUAUGAACUUAAUACUCUAGAUGCAUGCUCGAUAGCGGUCGAUGUGUGGAGUAAUAGUAGUAGAUGCAGAAUCGUUUCGGUCUACUUGUCACGGACGUGAUGCCUAUGUUCAUGAUCAUUCCUAGAUAUUCUCAUAACUAUGUGCUUUUCUAUCAAUUGCUCAACAGUAAUUUGUUCACCCACCGUAAUAUAUGCUAUCUUGAGAGAAGCCACUAGUGAAACCUAUGGCCCCCGGGUCUACUUUACAUCAUAUAAGUUUCCGAUCUACAAUUCUAGUUUACUAUUUAUUUUCAAUCUUUACUUUUCCAAUCUAUACAACAAAAAUACCAAAAAUAUUUAUCUUAUUAUCUUUAUCAGGUCUCACUUUUGCAAGUGGCCGUGAAGGGAUUGACAACCCUUUUAUCGCAUUGGUUGCAAGGUUCUUGAUUGUUUGUGCAUGUACUAGGAGAUUUGUGUGUAGUCUCCUACUGGAUUGAUACCUUGGUUCUCAAAAACUAAGAGAAAUAAUUACACUACUUUGUUGCAUCACCCUUUCUUGUUCAAGGGAAAACCAAUGUAUGCUCAAGAGGUUGCAGGAGAAGUAACAGAUGUAGCAUUCCUUUAGCUCAAGAUGUUAAAUAUUCGUAAUUACUCAGUGCGAGAAAGUACACCUCAGAUGCUCCCUUUGGUUGAAGAUCUAUAGGUGUUUGGAAAAAACAUUUUUCCAAUUUACCAUUAGAUGAAUUUGUGAGUGCAAUCUAAUCUUGAGUGCGAAGGUAUAUUUUGUGGAACCUACAGUCGAUUGUCUGCUUACUGAUGACCUUCAUAUCCCAAGUCAUGGAGACUAACAUGUCACUAAUGCUCAUAGGUCUGACAAAAAAAUGUGGAAUUCUUUGAAGAAGAGCUUAACAGAAUAUGCAAAGGUGGAGAUAAUAGAUCGUGACUGUGUAGUUGCUUGUUUGAUGCUAUGUGAUUCAUUUGGUUAGGUUGCUUGUUUUGAGGGCUCAUAUUAUCAAACUUGUUGAACAACCACUGCAGAUGCUUUGAUUUCUUUUAUUUGGAAAUUGUUAAUUAUUGAAUGUUGAGCAUCAAAGAAAAUUGACCGAGUACAAAAAAAUAGGGGGGGGGGAGGAGGUGGCGAACGUGUCCGUGCUCUAGCACCCUCCCGGUUGUCCACGAACAUGUUCAGACAUGCGUCCAUGGAUGUUUGACGGUGUUCAUUUGAUGAAUAGAAAAGUGUAGGAUAUGCCCUUUGUCUUCAAGGCAACUUUUAAUGCUUAAAAAUUGACUUUGAUUUUUAGAAGGGACAUAGGUUUAUUGUAAAGGUCUAUCCUCUUUAUAAUAGUUGAUUUAGGAAUAAUUAUUUCCAACCUAGUACAUAUUGAUAAUUUGUUUGAAGGUUACACGAGUAAAUUGAAAUUGAGAAACUAUUUGAAAGUUUUGUGCAUAUAUUUUUGAAACUCAGAAGUUGCAACAAUGUGUUGCGGAAUCAAUGACUUGAUGAGGGGCAAAUUGAUCAAUCCUGAAAGCCAUGUAGAAAUAUCAAAUCGGUUAUACCAAAGUAUGUAUAGAACACAUCAAUCUAGAUUUGACAUAUCAAUGCGAGGGGAUACAAACUUAGUAUCAACAUAUCUUUUUGCAUUCACUGGACACUAUUCUUUUGGAUAUCCAUGAUCAAGAUAUGUUGCAUUAAAGAAAUGGUGGAAGUCAGAUGUGUAGUAUCAACAUCAUUAAUAAAGGAUAUCCAAAUUGAGUAUAUACAUAUUUGUAUAUAGAUUUGACACUAAUCAUAUGCAUAUCCAUGACGCAACUUGCAAACUUCAUUUAUGAAACCCAACUAUACGCAUUAUAAAUAAACAUCAACCUCCCAUACAUCAUAUCCCUCCAACUCCUCACCCCCCCCCCCACGCAAAUAUCCAUGCACAUAUUAGAUAUCAUUAAAAAGGAGAUCAAAACUGAGCACUCAAAUAUUUAUGCACAGAUUAACCAAUAAUAAUAGGCAUAUCCAUGACCAAGCUCCAUACUGCAUUUAUGAACCCCACUAUACACAUUAUAAAUAAAUCUCAACCUCUCAUACAUCAUAUCCAACCAUUUUCCCCCUACACAACCAUCUAUAUCCAUUUAUCCCCACCUCUCUAGGUUGUAGUACAAUUCAACGCUUCUAACAAGCCUUGCAACAAUAUAUAUAUGGCACGAACACAGAUGGACACCAUCAUCUUUUCCGCCAUUGUCUUCAUGUUGCUUUUCGUGACCACGACGGCUCAAGCCAGUGGAUCUGGUGGUGCCAAGCCCAAGGCGACCGACCUCGUGAUAGAAGUGUGCAAGAACGCCACAUUAAACAACGCAAAUGUGGAUCCUCUCAGAGAGGAAUUCUGUUUAACGACCCUCUAGUCAGACAAUCGAAGCGCUGAGGCUAAGGAACUCCGUGACUUGCUGCAAGUCACCGUCGACAUCCUUAGGGGUCGAGUCACUACUACCAGCAGCAAGGUCAAGAAAAUGUUGGAAAACACCAAGAAGGGCACGGUGCCAAUGCGCGUCUUCAGUUUGUGUGAGGUGGAUUAUGACACCAUGGUGAGCGUCAUCAACAUAUGUGAUGCCAUUAUCAAGGAUUACCAACGUGACGAGGGCAGGCAAUGGUCCAAAGAGCUAGUCCGUUGGAUGGAUAUGGCACGUGAUCAUGUCAAUGAGUGCAUCUCUGAGCUUGUUGACAUGCCUGCAGUGGGGGCUCUUGUCAAUGAAAACAAUGAAUUGGGAAUGCUGGUUAAACUGAACACCGCCUUGGUAGCAGCCCGUAUGUUUCCCGAGUAAUAGGAUGUUUGUGUUUAUAUGGCAGAAAAUAUGUCGAUGAGAAAUAAAUUGUACUAUUAAUAGUUAUUACUAUAAAUAUAAUGAUAAAUGUGUUGUGGCAUCAAUAUGCAUGGUUUUCCACAAAUUUUUCAUUUUGCUAUGAUAAUUCUAGAUUUUUUGGGGCCCAUUCGUCUUUCUUUCUUCAAAGUCUUACAAUAAUGACAUCUAUCACUCGUUGUGGAACCUCUCUUUUAAAUUGGCUCUUGAAAUCCGAUUGUCAGUAUUUUUUUAAUAUACCAUUGUUAGUAUGUUAUUCUGAUGUGUUGAACUUAUCUAUCUCCCAAGUUAUCUCUAUGCGUGAAUAUUUUCAAGUAUGAAGAGCCAAGGUCAAUGUAACAGCGCAAACAAUUGCAACCACCCGUUUAGCCAACAGGCUACUACCAUCUACGUGUCAAUCCUUAUCUUUACAUAAUAUAAUAAUAAAGAACGGAGGCUUUCAUAUUGUCCAUCACUCAUCUGUUUAUAUCGAUCGAUUUUAUGUUAACCAUAAAAAUUAACGGCUGGGAUUUAAAAAUAAAUCAACACACAUGUAAUAAGAAAAGCAAACAAACAAACGCUAUGGAACAAAGUAAAAAAAGUCAUGAACGUUGCACGUCUCUCUUGACGAUGAGAAAAAGGAAAACAAUCAUAUAUAUCAGAUCAAUUUCCUGACAAUCCCUCUUUGGCACUGCAAGCGCCGGUUAUAACUGUUUUGUGCAAACCGGCGCCUGCAGCCCACAUCCCUCUAAUGCGACUGGGCCGGUCCAUGUAUCUGCUUUUAUAUUUUUUUCUAAAGGUUCAGAAAAUGUGUGUCCGCACGAAAUUGAACUCAAGAUCUGCUCUAGUAAAUUAGCACCGCAACCAUCAGGCCACAAAAUAUCGCGGUAACUCCUCCGUUUGGGAAUCUUCCAGAACCUUCCCUAAACCGUUUUUUGGUUCGUUGGUCAUUUCCAGGUGCGAUUUUACUCGGUUUUCUUUUGUUCUUUUCCUUUUAUUUCUUAAAUGCGUUUUUUUAUCGUGUUAUUUUUCAAAAUCAAUCAUGUUUUUCUCUUUCACGUAUUUAACAAAAUCAAUGAACUUUUUUCCAAAUUCGAUGAACCUUUUUAAAAAUUGAUGAACUUUUUUGAAAUACGAGUAACUUUGUUCAAAUCUGAUGAACUUUUUUUUCAAAAUUGAUUCUACAACUAUCGCUAAUGCAUAGUGAUAAAGUAAGUCAAUUACAUGGCAUUUGCAUCUCAUACAAUAAAGCGACAACCAUAAGGCAACUGCCAGUUGCCGAUAACUUUUACAAAACAUGAUCAUCUCAUACAAUAACGUAUAUCACAUCAUGUCUUGACCAUAUCACAUCACAACAUGCCCUGCAAAAACAAGUUAGACAUCCUCUACUUUGAUGUUGCAAGUUUUACGUGGCUGCUACGGGCUUCUAGCAAGAAACAUUCUUAACUACGCAUCAAAACCACAACGGUGAUUUAUCAAGUUUGUUGUUUUAGCCUUCAACAAGGACCGGACGCAGUCAAAUUCGAUUCAACAAAAGUGGGAGAAACAGACACCCACCAGCCACCUUUAUGCAAAACUAGUUGCAUGUCUGUCGGUGGAACAGGUCUCAUGAACGUGGUCAUGUAAGGUUGGUACGGGCCGCUUCAUCCAACAAUACCGCCGAAUCAAAAUAAGACAUUGGUGGUAAGCAUAGACCUGGCUUGGAUGCCACUGUUGGUGCAAUUUCAAAAAAAAUCCUACGCUCACGUAAGAUCUAUCUAGGAGAUGUAUAGCAACAAGAGGGGGAGAGUGUGUCCACGUACCCUCGUAGACCAAAAGCAGAAUCAUUUUGACAAUGUGGUUGAUGUAGUCGAACUUCUUCUCGUUCCGACCGAUUAAACACCGAACGUACGGCACCUCCGAGUUCUGCACACGUUUAGCUCAAUGACGUCCCUCGAGCUCUUGAUCCAACAGAUUGUCGAGGGAGAGUUUCGUCAGCACAAUGGCGUGGUGAUGGUGAUGGUGAAGUGAUCCGCACAGGGCUUCGCCUAAGCACUAUGACAACUAGUCGUCUACCCGUGCGUUCGCACGGGCUAUAGAAAUUAUAUAUUUACAAAAUCUUCACAAUACAUAUUCUAAGGACAAUGGUGAUUGAUAUUAGAUGACAUUUCAUUUUCCUAUCCUCACUGUAAUGGAUGAGCCCAAAAUUAGAAAGAUAACAAUACAUGCCAUAGCAUUAAUAAUUAACAUAGAGAACCUUUUGUUGUAUAAAUCAUUCUUAGAUUCUCGUUGACAACCUUGAAUCAUAAGAACUGGCCAAAUUAUGUCUCUGUAUAACUUGUGUUGGUAUAUUUUAGUUAGAAAUCAAUAAUACUUUUGCUAAUAUUUGACCUGAAAAUGAGAAUGUUUUUUAUAAUUUAUACCACGAUGUAUGUCAGGAAGAACCUAUAAAUAUAAUAAAGUGGUGUUGUCUAUGUAAAAAAAGUCUCGCAUAAAUUUGAAUAUAAAGACAUUAUUUUGUUUGUUCUUGGAAUUAUUAUAUCCUCGAGUAAUAUUGUAUGAAUAAAUAUAUGACAACCCAAUUGUAUAGUUGGAUUAUUUUUAAUAUGCAGAACUCCAAAGCACGGAAGGUUCAUAUUAGAAUUUUUAAUGCAUGUAAUGUAUCAAAUUCUGAAGUAGAUUUGAAAGUCUGAUAUCAUAAUACAUUUCACAAUGACUCCAAAAAAGAUUUUGGUUGAUGGCUUGCGUGAAAUUUGUUUCAUUAGAUUUUUCACAUGAAAUAUGUUCAGAGUAUUACUCUUUGAACUUGUUGUGUUUGCAUGUUCGAGCAAAAAAUAAUUAUCAAGUUUAAUAGUAAGAAACUUAAAAUGAUUAGAAACUUUAAAUAGUAUUGGGACUCAUAGAGUGCAAUUUUUAAAUGUUACCAGUUCCUCUCAUCAUGGGCGUAGUCAAUUGGAACACUUGGUUUGUUUUUCCUGUUUGCAGUUGAGAAGGUGAAUCUUACUGACUACAUAUAAUGUAUUGAUUUCUACUCCAGCACGUACGCCAUGACAAACUUGUACCUGCUGCGAGGCCCUCUCGAGCAAUCGAUACAUACAUAUGUUAGUGCGUAUACUUUCUUUUAAUGUAUAUACUUGUCUUUGCUAUAGCCUUCUUCCUACAUCUGCGAGUAAGCAGCAACCUGUUUUUUUAAUAAUUGUCACCUUGAACAUGGCACACAUGAACCCUAUAUUCCUCCAUUGCCGAACCAUCUAAAACAACUAACUUUUCCUUACUCACUGACACACGGUUUUAAGCAUCAUCCCAUACUGUUCAUUUUUCAUAUUCUAAUAUGUUUUCCAAACUGAGAAAAUGAUACAACCAAUCAUAUCUAGCGAAAUUGUUCUGCAACUUUCUUGCUGUAAGCAUGAUAUAAUUCUUCCUUGAAAUUGAUGGGAAAUAGGCUAAAGGGUAAUCUGUUUCUAUUAAAAACUACAACGCAGAAUCAGGUUUUUCGUCUUAGUUUGCAAACCCUAAACAAGAAUCGAACGAAAUUGGUACCACUGGAAAGCUUGCAACGUAUCCCAUAACUUUUACCACUGUCUUAAUUUCAGAUUAUGCAAUGUUUUAUCACAGUUUUAAACUUAACUCUACCGGCUCAGACAACCCAUGCCUAGAUAAAUACUUAGCGUCAGUCUCUCCAAUCCAUCUUUCUACUUUGCCAAUAAUGACUAAUUAGGGUUUACCUUUUCUGUGUGGAAUCAUUCUUCCAGUUCCAUGGCAAGAUCACAAAUUUUGGACGACCCAACGGAUUCUCCUUCCUCCAGAGUCUUCUUCUCCGCUCAGAUUGGCUACUGCGCCUUACUCUUCUGAUUACAUGUAUUCCCUUCUCUCUUCUGACUAAAUUCUCCCUGGUGCAAUAUGUGCAGUCUACUGCCUUGAGCUGCUCCUUGUCAUAGCUUGCUCUGCACUCCAGAUCUCUUGCUCUGAUUGGUGGCUGGAUCAAAUGCAACCCACCCAACAGUAGUUAGCUCAACAUAAGCGGCUUCAAAAAAACGCAAGGAGCAGCACAUAAACGUAAAGGUCGACGACUGAAAAUGGCAACACCAUCCUAGAGCAGUGGAGCUCACGGCUAUACGUAGAACUUGGUGGUGGUAGUCAUGAACAGCGACCAGCACCAGCCUCCGGUAGAAGGGGGCAGUUCAUCCAUGUGCUUGAGUGUUGACGGCUGGCCAUAUUGUGAACGACAGAGUCGUCAAUUCUGACUAAGUGUAGUCUCAUGCUGAUUCUCUACUGCCGCAUAGGCAUGUCCGGCGGUGGCCAGCGUGACUGCAUGCUGGGUCAUCGAUCAAUGAUCCGGGCAAUUCAAUUGUAAACCCCAAAAAAGCAAAUUCAAAGCAAAUCAGUGUGAGAUGAGGAACCUGAUUUAGAUAAGGAACAAAAUUCUAAUGUGAUAACUUCAGCGAGAGCUUGGGAUCCAUGCCCUAACAUCCUUGCUCCAAUUUGAGAGAGAGAACGAUCUGUUUACCAUGUGUGAAGUAAAGAGAGACAUGAGAGAAGAGAUAUAUGAGAGUUUGAGAGAGGGAGAAACGGGAUAGAUUGAGAGAGAUAGACGAAGAUAAAUAUGACAGUUUGAGAGAGAGAAAGAGACGUGAGGGACUAAGAGAGAGAGAGUUUGAGAGAGGGACGUCAGAGAUUGUGAGAGACCACGAUUUCUUAGGUUGUUGUUUUUCUUUUACUCUGAGAGGAAUAGAAAGAGGUAGAUAUUUUAUGGUUUACUAUUCAAAAGUUUUUUUGGCAGAACUAAGCUGCCUGAAUGGUCAAAAAAAAUAUUGUUCUCUGAAGAUUAAUCUACACCGUAAUAACUCGGUCCCACCAGAUGAACGGCUGGUAAAUUCUAAUUAACGUGGUAAUUUUUAGGGAGUCUGUAAUUAAUAUAAGUAUAGAUAUAGAUAUAGAUAGAUAGAUAGAUAUAGAUAGAUAGAUAUAGAUAGAUAGAUAUAGAUAUAGAUAGAUAGAUAGAUAGAUAGAUAGAUAGAUAUAGAUAGAUAGAUAUGACUGAAGGCGUAAACUGUGGAGGGGCGCCGCACACGGCUAGGAAUCAAUGUUGUGUGUUCUAGAGAUGCCCCUCCCACAUAUAUAUUAGGUGGGAGAGGGAGGGGAGCAGCAAGGGGCGCCUCCUCCAAGUCGCCCCCCCCUCCCUUUCAUAAGUGUUGGAGGCUGAAUCCUCCCCUUUCCUUCUCCCUUCCCUCCUUUCCUUCUUCUCCUAUUUUGGUCUACAUGGGGCGCACCAGCCCACUAGGGGCUGGUCUGUCCCCUGCUUGGCCCAUUAGGCCCAUGUAGUUGCCGGGGGAUGUCCGGAACCCCUUCCGUUGACCCGAUAUGUACCAGGAACCCUCGGAACACUUCCAGUGUCCAAAUACCAUCGUCCUAUAUAUGAAUCUUUACCUAUCGACCAUUUUGAGACUCCUCGUCAUGUCCGUGAUCUCAUCCGGGACUCCGAACAACAUUCGGUCACCAAAUCGCAUAACUCAUAUAAUACAAAAUCGUCAUCAAACGUUAAGUGUGCGGACCCUACGGGUUCGAGAACUAUGUAGACAUGACUAAGACACCUCUCCGGUCAAUAACCAACAGCGGAAACUGGAUGCUCAUAUUGGUUCCUACAUAUUCUACGAAGAUCUUUAUCGGUCGUACCGUAAUGACAACAUACGUUAUUCCCUUUGUCAUUGGUAUGUUACUUGCCCGAGAUUCGAUCGUCGAUAUCUUCAUACCUAUUUCAAUAUCGUUACCGGCAAGUCUCUUCACUCGUUCCAUAAUACAUCAUCCCAAAAUUAACUCAUUAGUCACAUUGCUUUCAAGGCUUAUUAUGAUGUGCAUUACCGAGAGGGCCCAGAGAUACCUCACCGAUACUCGGAGUGACAAAUCCUAAUCUCAAUCUAUGCCAACCCAACAAACACCUUCGGAGAUACCUGUAGAGCAUCUUUAUAAUCACCCAGUUCCGUUGUGACGUUUGAUAGUACACAAGGCAUUACUCCGGUAUCCGAGAGUUGCAUAAUCUCAUAGUCAAAGGAACAUGUCUAUGACAUGAAGAAAGCUGUAGCAAUAAAACUGAACGAUCAAUAUGCUAAGCUAACCGAUGGGUCUUUUCCAUCACAUCAUUCUCCUAAUGAUGUGAUCCCGUCCAUCAAAUGACAACACAUGUCUAUGGUUAGGAAACUCAACCAUCUUUGAUUAACGAGCUAGUCUAGUAGAGGCUUACUAGGGAAACUGUGUUUUGUCUAUGUAUCCACACAUGUAUCUAGUUUCCGGUUAAUACAAUUCUAGCAUGAAUAAUAAACAUGUAUCAUGAUAUAAGGAAAUAUAAAUAAGAACUUUAUUAUUGCCUCUAGGGCAUAUUUCCUUCACUAAGAGAGGAAGGCGGUUGUCGCCCUUGUCCCUUGUUACCAGCCUACCAUGCCGUCAUCGAUCACUGGCUCACUUAGAACACGAGCUAGUAGAUUUUGUGAUAAGAGUGAGGAGGAUGGUACCGUAGAAAAUGUGAAAAAUUGUAUUUUAUUAGAGAUGGAUUCAAAACAAAUUGCUUGAGCGAGUGGUUUAUAUAUUUUCUUCAUCAAUUCGUACAAUUUUUUGGUUAGGAUAGAGGGGUAAAUGCAUUGGUUGGGUGCUUCAAGAUUUAAUAACGGACACAGUGGCAUAUUGGUUUCAUGCCAAACAACCGACAUCAUAUUUUUCUUUUGUCGUAAGGUACGACAUUCAACUGUAUGUUGGCAAUGUCUAAGGACAAUCAUAUCUGCCUUCUUGGGCGUCACGGGAGGCACAUGCCUUGUUCCCUUGAUGGAGGUGGCAGAUGGCAUGAUCACGGGGGGAGGGGAUCAGGGCAGAGAGCGGGGCGGUUGGCAGGUGAUAACCCACAAGUAUAGGGGAUCACAACAGUUUUCGAGGGUAGAGUAUUCAACCCAAAUUUACUGAUUCGACACAAGGAGAGCCAAAGAAUAUUCUCAAGUAUUAGCAGUUGAUUUGUCAAUUCAUCCACACCUGUAAGACUUCAUAUCUGCAGCAAAUUAUUUAGUAGCAAAGUAGUAUGGAAGUAACGGUAACGGUGGUAAAAGUAACAGUAACAGUUCUGUAGUAAUUGUAACAGUGGCAAUGGUAAAGUAACUAAGCAAAGAUCAAUAUGUGAAAAGCUCGUAGGCAUUGGAUCAAUGAUGGAUAAUUAUGUCGGAUGUGAUUCCUCAUGCAACAGUUAUAACAUAGGGUGACACAGAACUAGCUCCAGUUCAUCAAUGUAAUGUAGGCAUGUAUUUCGAAUAUAGUCAUACGUGCUUAUGGAAAAGAACUUGCAUGACAUCUUUUGUCUUACCCUCCCGUGGCAGGGGGUCCUGUUGGAAACUAAGGGAUAUUAAGGCCUCCUUUUAAUAGAGUACCGGACAAAAGCAUUAACACUUAGUGAAUACAUGAACUCCUCAAACUAUGGUAAUCACCGGGAGUGGUCCCGAUUAUUGUCACUUCGGGGUUACCGGAUCAUAACACAUAGUAGGUGACUAUUGACUUGCAAGAUAGGAUCAAGAACUCACAUAUAUUCAUGAAAACAUAAUAGGUUCAGAUAUGAAAUCAUGGCACUCGGGCCCUAGUGACAAGCAUUAAGCAUAGCAAAGUCAUAGCAACAUCAAUCUCAGAACAUAAUGGAUACUAGGGAUCAAACCCUAACAAAAAUAACUCGAUUACAUGGUAAAUCUCAUCCAACCCAUCACCGUCCAGCAUGCCUAUGAUGGAAUUACUCACGCACGGCGGUGAGCAUCAUGAAAUUGGUGAUGGAGGAAGGUUGAUGAUGACGAUGGCGACGGAUUCCCCUCUCUGGUGCCCCAAACGGACUCCAGAUCAUCCCUCCCGAGAGAGAUUAGGGCUUGGCGGCGGCUCCGUAUCGUAAAACGCGAUGAAUUCUUAUCUCUGAUUUUUUUCUCCCCGAGCGUGAAUAUAUACAGUUGGAGUUGAGGUCGGUGGAGCUUCAGGGGGCCCACGAGGCAAGGGGGCGCGCCCCCCACCCUCGUGGACAGGGUGUGGGCCCCUUGGUGUUGAUUCAUUCGCCAGUAUUUUUUAUAUAUUCCAAAAUAUUCUCCGUGAAGUUUCAGGUCAUUCCGAGAACUUCUAUUUCUGCACAAAAAUAACACCAUGGCAAUUCUACUGAAAACAGGGUCAGUCCGGAUUAGUUCCAUUCAAAUCAUGCAAGUUAGAGUCCAAAACAAGGGCAAAAGUGUUUGGAAAAGUAGAUAUGAUGGAGACAUAUUAGUAGGGGAUUCCUCCUUGAUGGUCCAUGGGGUUGUAUGUUGUGAAGGAGAAAGGAGACUACAGCGAAGGUCAAGUGAGCGUCAUCAGAUUUUAAUGUAGAGAGCACCAACGACAAAUUCCCGUUUAUGGCGGAAAAUUGAGCGAGAAGGGGACGUUCCGGUAGGAAAAGGGAAGGGUGCAUCGUCGAGUGGAGUUUUUGUGUUGGAACCGCGUGUUGGAGAUGAUGGAGGAUAAUAUGGAAAACCACAUAUCUUCCUCACAUAUAGGUUGGAUUUUGGUGAUCCCAGACUAUCUGAAUGGUUGGAUUUUCAGGAGCCUUUUAGGCGCCUAUCUGAUGUUCGAACACUCUCGGACAUAUGAGAGAGAAAUGGGCUUCAACCUUGGAGAUGAUCUUAAUCAUUUGUCUUGUCUAAUUCAUUUUUAUAUAUUAUAGCCUGUAGCAACACACGGGCAUUCCACUAGUAUUAAUUAGUGCUCUGGAAGACACCCGUUAAGAUGUGCUUCCAACACUCGAAGUGGGGGAUGUGUCCAAAUUAUGUCUUGACCGAAAUGCGCCCUGCAUCAAGAGUCAGUUGUCUAGCUGUAUGCCCUAUUCGCCACGCGGAGUUUCCUCGGUAAUUAAGGUAAAUCAAACAAAAUCAUUGGACAUUUAAUGACUACACCUUAUGCAUCCCCAGAGAUUGGAUCCACCCUACCAUACUAAGCCCUUCUAUCACUCGUGUUCAGAAUUGCACUUCACGUUGUCCCGUGUCCUAACCUCCACUUGGACCGAACUCCAGGAUCCAUGCAACCUGUAGGGCCGAAGAACGAGGUUGGGGGAGAGAGAGAGAAGAGACUACUAUGAUGUAAUUUUAUUUUAUAUAUACAUGACGUCCAUUCAAAGUCAUUCCAUCAACCCCUCAAACAAAUACAUCAGGUUGCAGGGACAUUGGACAUUGCCUUACCGAAUUACUCACACAUGGCGAUCGGAUCGCAAGAAGUAAUCAGUGAAGAAGACAUCGGAUCAGAUCACAAAACAAAGAGAGGAUUUCACAAUCCCUUGCAUUCAUCAGUCAUUAGUGGCAAUAUCAAUGGGAGUAUCAUAGAUUUUAUAAGAUAAACAUGUUUAGACUAUGGCAUGAUGAGCAUAAAAGUAACACACGUCAACUCUUCAAGAUUAAACUUGAUCAUCCUCUAGUAACAUAGAUAGAAAUCCAAACCGUAAGGAACUAGGUUGUUUAAUGCCUAGAUAGACCUCCGCUUCUUCACAUGAAAAGUUAGUAUAGCUGUAGCGGUGACAUGGUUAUUAUGCAAGUGUUAUUGAAGCAAAGAUAAUCAACACAAAGCUCUUGCUCACCUAGAAAAAAUAAAAAGUAGCUUUUAUUCUAUUUAAUCUAGUUAACACUUGCUUGCGGGGAACACAUGGAAGAGAAUUUUCUUUCUUGAGCAAUGAAAACAUAAAUUAAGGGAGUGAAAGUUAUGAAAACACAACAUGAUACUAGAGUAACUCAUUAACACCCACGAGUGUCUCAUCAUUAAUUCUCGCAAGGACUUCGCUUCAAUCAUUGCUUGCUGAAACUUUUCUUGUCUAGUGACGAGAUUAUGCCAAAGAAAUUAUUCAUGCAUAAGGUUUCGCAGAGGCUUAAGCUUGAGUACUAUUGAUGAGUCCAAAUUGUGUGAUUAUUUCUACGAGUAUUUUGUGCCAACUCCAUAGGCUUUGUGGAAUGUUACUGCGUUCACACACUAUUUUUGUCAUUUUUCCCCAGGACACUUCUUUUGGAACAAAUGGAAAACUAUGGUAGGAAUCACAUGAUAUUAUGGUGGAAUCACAUAAAUCAAUGUGAUUAUACCUUACCAUAAAUAGAAUAAAAUACUUAAAGGAAAUUGGAUCUGGCGCAGUCCAACAAAGUGCAACACGGGCAACCAUACGAGCGCACGUGCUCGUGCAUGCAGCCGUAUGGCAUGCUGGUAGCUCCCUCCCGUCGACUACUUCUUCCCUAUGGAUAAAGAUCGCCGAAUAGACACACACACACACACACACACAUACACACAACCACCAGAAACACAUCCAGGAGGAGAACCCUAACUUUUUGAACCCAUCCAGAGGGGAAUUGGUAAGGAGGAGAUCGCCAUCUUCACCACCAGGUGCAAGGGGACGUUGGCAUCAUCACCACUGUCAUCAUCAUCAUAAUCCACAUCAAUCUUCAUCUCGUUGUAAUAUCAGAACUCUAGUGGAUCAUCAUGCGUGUUACUUGUUUGAUUCAUCCAUGUUUAUCGUGCAUAUUCUGCUUCCCCUAUGUAUGAGUAAACCCCCUAGUUCUUAGGGAUAUGGAUGAAUCUUGGUAUGUAUAGGAGCUGAAACGUUAAUAUGUGAUAUUUUCUGUUGAAUGAUUUAGUUUAAUAGACUUCGUGAAUGUUGUGAAGGCUCCUCCCUCAAAAUUAUCACCGAAAGGUCACAAAGUAUAUUACUGUCGUUUUAAGAGUUAGCGAGUGAAGGUAAUUCGAGGUGACAGCAAAAGCAUUCACCCCUAGGUUUUACAAUUGAUUAGGGAAUUACGGAGAACCUUAGUGAGGCCGCGUCCAUAGAGAGACCCUUAAUUACCGUAGUCGUAACUUGUUGGGGGAGACUACUGUAGUGGCAUGCGUGGCAUGAAGUCUACCUAGAGUAGAAUGUGCUCUGUGCCCGGCUAUGCCCGGUGUAAACGUCAAGAAUGGUGUAAGUACAUCUAGUGCCUCCUUUGUGGUUAUAGACUACUGAAGACAAAUGUGUUAAGAGACUAAUGUGUUUGUGAGUGUACAUAGGUGAAAAGUCACAGAAGAUGUUGUUUAACCAUGAAAGACGACCCCUAAAAAUGUACGUUUAGAUUGAAUAAAUUGGUGCGCCCCUUUGAAGAAAUUGACGUGACGAAUUGGAACGUGAAGAUUUUGUUCCAGUAGUUUCUUUUUUCUUAUAUUGAUUCAUAGGAAACACCAUACUGUUAAAGGGGGUCUAGGUCAUAUGUAUGCGUAUUUCCGAAGUGAUGCUCAACCUACCUAUUUCUUCGAGUGAAGACUAUGAAAAUCUCUUGAAGUGCAGUCGAGUUCCACAACAACAGAGACACAGUUCUUCUGUUCGUUGACGAAAUUGGUCUGAAGGAAGAGUUAGGAUUUCGCCGGUGUGAUUCUCCUACCGUGAGAAAUUUGAGAGUUUAAAUUUCCAACCGUUGCCGGACUAAGGCGGUUCUCGAGUCUAAGCCCGUCAUAAGUGUUGUGGCAACGGAGGUGCAAGAAGUGCUGAAGGUGGGGUACUAUCGAUGUCAUGGUGAGCGGUCUGAGGACCGGCAUGUCAUUCGCCAGUGACAAGAGUUCCGAGGUGGUGUACAAGUCAUCCUUCAUGUGUUUCUUGGUGCAGGUUCGGAGCUAGCAAAAACACAAGGAUGCUGAACAAAAGCACCCCAUCUCAUAUGAGCUGGCGCUAGUCCAGCCUCACCGUGCUGCCGCCACCACCUAUGUUAUUUGGCUUCGCAAUCCCCUCCUCCACGGAGAGAGGCAUGGGUUUACUUGGUGUGGAGUUCGACGUCACCUGCGGCGAGAGUGGAUGUCACAUAACUUUACAAGUGGGAUCCACCAAGAUACAGUGCCAUGUAGGCAAAGUUUGCGGUUACAUGCGAGAAAUGCACCAUAUUAGCCAACUGAUUGUACCAGAAAUCGAUUUCCAUCUUUUGGCAUGAAAAUGAACAUGCAAGCCAAGUUUAGGGACCACGGGUAAAUUCAUCUCUUAAAUAAUACAAAAGGCUUUUUCAUCCUCCCACAUCCUCCCUUUUACUCAUUGGAUAUCCACACACUACAGAGGAGCUUAGUAGCAGCGCUUUUUAUAAGAAAGCGCUGCUGCUAAAGAAUGGUAGCGCUUGUCACCGAAGAGCACUGCUAAUAUCCAUCUAGCAGUAACGCUUUUGUUACAAAAAACGCUACUACUAUAGUUGCCAACGGUUGCAUGGCAGUGUAGGUAUACUAGUAGCGCUCUUAAUUAAAAAGCACUACUGCUAUUGUACAUAGCAAUAGCGUUGUCCUCUGUCGAGCGCUACUGCUAUUUUUUCAGGUGUAUGUGUGGGCUGAUAUAUAACUGUACAACUUUCUCAUGUUGCGAGUGAAAGACAUUGUGAGUUUUCCAUGAUCUUGCUUAAAUACAGGUACGACUACUGAACUGAAAUUAAUCUUAUCGUGCAUAUUCACUUGCAAUUGGUAUUCGUAAAUCUACAACACAUGUCAUUAAUGCAACACAGCUUGAUCAUGGAUAUAAAAAAUGAUUAUUGUUCUUUGUAUGCACAUAUGUAUUGGUGGUUCAUCAAUGCCAUAUGCAUCUUGGCUAUAGAUAUCCAAAUUGUUAGUGUUUUAUCUCCACACAAAUAUGUUGAUCCUCCUAUUGGACAUGCUGGUCUUAGUGCCCUCUCUAUUCACAAAUAUGUUAAUGCUCAGUUUAGAUCUUCUCGUAUUAAUACACUUCUAGCUUCUAUUGGAUGGUGAAUGCAACAUUUCAUUUGUAUUAAUAUGUCUACUUGUUAUUGCGGGGAAUAUUAAUAUGUCUAAUGUAGCUUCAUUAAUGCAACUCAACUUGAUCAUGGUUUAAAUGAUCAUUGUUCAUUUUAUGCCCUUGCAAAAAAAAGAAGGGUUCAGUGUAUGUAUAGAUAUAUUGACAUGAUACAUGUUUUAGAUAACCUUGCAUUAAUAUGUCUAAUUUCCAUUUCUGUUCUCUUUCCUCGUUCUACAGAUUUCAUAUUUGUAUUCAUUUUAAGAGUUCUUCAAGAUGCACAUAAUUUAGUCACUGGUUACAAUCUAAAUGUAAGAAAGCACAUAAUCUGUAGAACGUGCAACCUAUGUGUUAUCCAUGUGAUAAAAUUAAAAUCAACAUCCUAGAUCAAAUGUCCAAGUCAACUAAAAAGAGAUUUCCUUACAAGUAAUGUCAAGCCGCAUUUUCAAAUCACAAACAGUUUUGAGCAAUGAAUGAUCUCAAAAAAAAAUCAUCCUGCCUGCCACCGUUUAUCUCUUUGGAUGUCCACAUAUUGUGUUUUUUUUAUGGUGAGCGUCUGUGCCAAUAGAUAAACUAACGAGUUUUUCAUCUUGUGAUCGAGUCAAAGAUAUUCGAUUCUGUGUUUUUCAUGAUCUUGCUUGUACGUACGACCAUGAAACUACUAUUGUUAUCGUGUAUGAAUACUUGCAACAGGGUGCUUCAGCGCCAGCACCGACCAUGGAUGCACAUGAGUAUGCAUGGAUGCGUGCAUGUAACGACCUGAUCGCUCCUGCAGGUGAAAGUACAUGUUUCUCUUAGGUCUGUGCACCAUCAAGGCCUUGAACAGUUCCUUCAUGAGUGUCAAGUGAGACUUCAUGUCUCUAUGGUGAACAGACAAACUUCAGCGGAUAUGUUGCUCUCAUGGCACGGCAAAGACAAGAACAAUAGAUGGACUCUUGCCACUAGUAGUAUUGAUCCACGCUUGACACAUGACUACUCAUGGAGAAGACCCAUUCCUUUAUAACAUUUCCCUUUUAUUCAGUCUGUUUUGGUGAAUCAGCAGUUAGAAGAACUUCUUCUUCUGUUAAAAAUAGGUUUUCUAACCCAAAUUAAAGUUAGAUUUCACAAGGAGUGAACCAGUGACAUUGUUGUAUCCCCUUGAAGCAGAGAAGACAUGGGUGCGACAAUCAUAUUUCCAAUCAUCCAGCUGGUCUUUUACAAGUAUCCCUUCUUGAAUACUCGGUUCAAUAAAUAAGUUGUUCACACUUCACAGCCAUCCAUGUGCAUAUAUAGUAAGUUAAUAACACAAAAUCCGAGUAAAUUUAUGCGACAAUAAGGUUUAUUAUUGUUAUUUCAAAUAACUGAUGCGACAACAAAUAAUAUUAAUCACGGACAUCAUAUGAUAUUAGUAAGGUGUUGUUGAGGAUGAGAAGCAUGUACAACUCCUCGUUUUCUCUGAUGAGCGCCUCCGCACCAGGCAUAUCUGGAAGCUCUAACCAACACAUGAUGAUAGGGUUGUAAUUAAUAUCCACACAGUCGGGCAGAUGCAAGAACUGCUGCCCACUCUUGUCACCUUGGUAGUCCUUGAUCAGGCCGUGGCACACGUUGAGGCGUCUCACCACACCUUCAUACUCCACCUCACAAUAACUGAGAACAUGCAUUGCCACUGUUCCCUUCUUGGCAUCUUGCAGCUUUUGCUUGAUCUUACGACUAGCGGCAGUGACACGGCUCUUAAAGAUGUCGACAGUGACAAGCACUAAGUCACGGAGGUCCUUAGCCUCAGCACUUCGAUUGUCCGACUGAAGGGUGGACAAGCAGAAUUCUUGCGUGAUAGAUUUGUUGUAGGGGUUGUUGAUCGAGGCCUUCUUGCAUGUUUCCACCAUGAGCUUGGUCGCCUUGGGCUUGCCAGUGUCAGAGCCACUAGCAUGAGCGGAAAAAAGGAAGAAGAUGAUGGUGGAGAGGACGAUGGUAGUCCUUGGCAUUGCUACCAUUACUACAGGGCUAGCUAGAAGCCUUGAAGUACUGAAGCGCUGAGAGGGAGGUGGAGAAAAAUAGACAGAGAAGG
rnacentral:lncRNA from 1 species